UGGAAGAGAUCUUGCUUCUGUGUAUUAAAUUUUAGUGUUGGAUUUAUUACCUAGCACAUCAUGUUACUUUGAGUUAUGAUAAUUAAGUGGUGUUUUAUAUCAGGUUUGCAUAUGUUCCAUGCCCACAUAAUGCCGAGACACUUUCUGCUAUAAUGAUAGAUUGCUUAUCAGAAUGGAAUACUGAUGGUAAGUUGUCUGCUCUCACAGUAGAUAAUUGCUCUACAAAAUGAUGCCAUGAUUGAGGAUAUAGUGACAUAUUGCAAGCUUUCACUUGUGUUAAACGGAGAAUUAUUUCAUAUGCGUUGUUGUGCUCACAUACUUAAUUUGAUAGUUAAGGAUGGAUUGGAUGUGAUUAGGGAUAAUAUUGAGACUAUUUGGAAUAGUGUUGCGUAUUGGUCUGGGACAGCAAAAAGAGAGGAAAAAUUUGUUAAGAUAGCUCAACAAAUGAAAAUUAAGUUCUUUAGAAAGUUAGUCCUUGAUUGUAAAACUAGGUGGAACUCGACGUAUGUGAUGCUUACCACUACAUUGGUGUAUAAAGAUGUAUUUCCUCGUUUAAAGCAGCGUGAGCCUUCAUAUAAAAAUGUUCCAAGUGAAGAAGAUUGGGCGAAGACUAACAUGAUUGCUGAAAAGUUGGAGAUCUUUCACCAAGUGACUGAGUUAUUUUCUGGGAUCAAGUAUCCCACAUCAAAUCUUUAUUUUCCAAAUGUGUGUCAGAUUAGGAUUGCAAUCUGUAAGUGGCUUGAGUCUAACCAUGUUGAAGUUAAGUUAAUGGCAACAAAGAUGUCAAUCAAGUUUCAAAUUGAUUGAGUAUUAUUUUUCUCUUAUUUAUAAAGAGAAUGCUCCAUCGGAAAUUGAGAAAGUCUUUGACUUGGCUAUUAAGUUGGUCAAAGAGUAUGAAUUAAAGCAUAGACCUAGGCUUCGGUCUUCUGAAUCUUCUUCUUCGACUGAUUUUCCAUCUCAAUCAUGUGAUUUCAGAGUUGGUGAUCCUUUAACAUCUUAUGACCAUGUUAUGGAUUUUACAUCGGUAAUGAACAAUAUGACUUAGACCUAUAUUUGGGGGAGAAAGUCUUGCCUAGGACUCAAGAUUUUGAUAUAUUGUCGUGGUGGAAGACAAAUGGGAUUAAAUAUCCUAUUUUGCAUCAGAUAGCUCGAGAUAUUUUGACUAUUCCUGUAUCUACAGUAGCUUCAGAGUCUUCAUUUAGUACUGGUGGUAGGAUUGUUAGUCCACACCGUAGCCAACUUCAUUCAAGCACAGUGGAAGCACUCAUGUGUUCUUGAGACUGGUUGUGGGGUUAGAUGCAAGAUACUUACUGUAAAAUUUCAUAUAAAUUAUGUAUAUGUUCAAAAUUUUACUAUUUUAGCCUAAUUUUAAUUUUUACUAUUGAACCAGAUUCAAACUCUACUCAGGUUGAAGAUUCUUCAUUCGGUGAUGAUACUGAUGUGAAUGUGGUAAAAACUAAUCUUUAUUUUUGUUUUUUACUUUGGAGUUAUUGGUGAUACUCAUUCAAUUUAUGCAUGCUAAUUCAAUUAUACAUUUCUUUUGUAGGCCUCUUUUGGUGACAACGAGUCAAUGAUACUUUGUGGUUGAACGUGUUCAAAAGUGUUUAGUUUCGGAAUAUUUUGGAGCUUUGAAUUCUAGUAUUCAAGAUAAUGACUACUUUUUGUUUUUAGAAGCUUUUCUUUUUAAUCAUAUGGAUUAUAAUUAAAGACUUGUUUGGGUGUAGCAAAAAAUAUCGUUCGUAAACUAUUAUUUCAAUUAUUGGAAUUAUAUGAGGACUUAAAUGAUUAAAAUAGGGAAAUGUAUGCUAAAAUGUACUUAUAACGGUGUUUAAUUGUCAGAAAAUUAAAAUUAUGCCAAAAUUUUCUUUUGUAAUUUUCAAAUUGUCAAAAAAAAAAAUAAUGUAGAAGGGCGAAAGAAGGGUAAAUGGGUAAAAAAAGGAUAAACGGGCGAAAAAACAGGUAAAUGGUUAUGGUUAAAUAGGUACACGGUUAUGGGUAUGGAUAACCGUUUAUAAACCGUUAUGGUUGUGGGUAUAACCAUUUAUGUAAUUACCCAACGGGUAAACGGUUCUGCGGGUAUGAACAUAACGGUUAUGGGUAAAUAACCGCGGUUGCCAAUUGAACUACAAUAGCGGUGUGAACUAGUUUUGGUGCCCCUGCCACGGGGGAGCAAAAAUUUCACCCUAGUUAGUUUGUAGUCAGAAUAUGUAUAAGCCAGUAGCAAUGUAUACCAAUUGUUAAGAUUGGAUUUUCGUUGUUUUUCAGAAAGUAGCAUCAAACGGGGAAUAUUGAAAGGGUGGUGCUAUUCUUUUACUUCUUAUAUCCGUCUCAAUUUUCGACCGUUUGAUCAAAUAAAUUGAAGAUUAAUAAACAAAAAUUGAUAUAAGCGUACGAGGCUAUCAGUCUUUAUAGUCUUCAGGACGUGUUUGAUUGGCUUAUCUAAGUUUCACCGGACUGGCUAGGGUACUUAAACUGUGUUUGGAACAAGCACGGAUUGUGUUUAAUGAGACUAAGACAGACUUGCUAGGAUUAAACGCUUCGCUAAGGGGCUUUAGCGAGACCCCCCGAAAAGGAGAGGUUUGCUAAUCCUGUCUUUUACACUUGCUUUGCUUUAUCUCAAGCUCGUCUAGGACUCUAGUAUGCUUUGCAUCGUCCUCACAGUUGUCCGACGAUCGAUGAUGGACCUGCAUCGUCGUCAAAAAGAAAAUCCCCAAAUGACGAGAUAUUUGAAAGAACACUGCCAGAAAAGCAUUGCUGCAAGUGCAACGACGAUCAGAAGUAUCCCCAAUCCCCACUUCAACGAUGGCGCUGCAAGCACAAACCACCACUUCAACGAGGCCAGACCCAAAAUCGAACAGAUCUAGGCCAACCAAGCUUGCCCAUUCGAGAUUCCACGCCCAUUGAACAAAAACCUGAAAAACGAAGCUCGAUUCUUCGUUUUGCAGAAAUUUUUUUUGGCAAUUAAUCGGAAAAGAGAAGGAAGGGAAGAAGAGCGUGGGAUGGAGAGAACUAGGGAGAUAAAAUGAAGAAAAAGAUGGACUCAUGGAGGCUUCCAGAGAGAGGGAGAGUUUUUUUUUAGAAUAAAAAAAGGUAGAAUUAAUUAAUAUAAUAUUAUUAUAUAUGAAUUAAAAAAUAUAAUAUUGUAGUUUGGUAUUAUCCUUCUUUCUAGUCUAACACUGCACUAAACCCUUUAUUAAGUUAGUUCAGUAUAGUGUAGUCUAAGCCAGUCUAACUUAAUCUCUGAAGCUAGUUCAGUCUGAGAUAGUCCGGUACAACAAACACAUCCUUAUAGUUUAUUGGGAAUGAUUAAAAAUGAUCUUUUCAAGAGAUGAGUCAAAGAUUUUUUUAAGGCAAUUUUUAUAUACCUACUUUUUAUUAUUUUUAAUAAUAUAAUAAAAUAUUAAGUAAAGUGAGUGGAGUGAACCCUAUUUAACCGGCAAAGAUGGUCUUCACCAAUUUAAAAAUCCAAAUGUUACGCAUGGUAAAGUAUUAUUAAACAAGUGCACUUUUUGAAGAGAUUUUUCUACGUAUAUCAGUCGGUACACUAGUCGACAUAGAACUAGUGGAGGAAGCGGUAUAUUUUCAUUUUCUACAUUAAUACUAGCAUAUGAGCACACAGAAAGUGUGUAAGAAAUUUUUUUAUUUUUGUUUUUGAAAUAGAAGGAGAGAGGAAGAGAGUGAUAGAGAAUGUGGGAGUGGGAAGUUUUUUUAUUUUUUAUUUUUUAUUUUUAAUUAGAAAUAUGUUAUGAUUACAUGUAAGUGAGGUUUUGAAAAAAAAAGUAAAAUUUGAUUGUGUGAAAUUACAUUUUUGCCUCAUAUUUCUUAUUUAUGUUCUAUUUUAAUUAAAGGCUUAAACUGAUAAUUUCGUAGAAUUUUGAUUAAUAAUGAGUGUUUUAUUAGUAGAGAUUAUGACGCGUGGUGUGUCGGUUCGUAUUUUAUAAAUACAAUAAAAUCUCUCCACUUCUUCACCAGAACUGCCACCUGAGAGAUUAAGACGACUCGGUUUUAAGUCCUGAAAAUACUGUUGAUAUCUCCCCACAAAAGCUUGAAGAAAUUGGUACACAGAUUCAAGGUCAGAUACUGACUAGAAAAACAGUGACAGUCAUGGUGCGAUCGGAACCAGUGACAGUUCUAACUAGAUGUCUCGGCGCACCGUGAAUUGAGAAUCCAUGGCCUCUGUGACCGGGAUAGAGGGCCAGGCAUGGGCACGUUGCACAUAAAGCUUUGAAAUAUUGCUAAGAGCUAAAAUCGUUUUGUAACUGCACAUUAUUAAAACACUGAAUUUUACAAGACGGCAUUGUUUUCACCAUGCAAUUAAGUCUUAGAAUACAGAUUCCUUCAAACAAUACAGGUUUCUUUACAAAUUACAACUCAAGAUUAAGCUGGUAUUCCUGAGUUUUGACAUUGAGUCAUAUUCCUGAGUUUUGACACUGGCUUGACUCAAGCACAACGAAUUUAACAACUCCUGCAAUCCAGAAAAGACACCCUGUAAGAAAAUCACCCAACACAACUCACCAAGUUAAAUGAACAAAAAAACACUUUGCAACGAAACCCAUUUUACUCGGUCGUCAGAAGAUUAUAAGGUGGUCAGGGGAAACCCAGUCGACGAAGCAAUGCAAUACAAAGAAUACCCUAAACUUAUAUGCGGUUAAAGACUUGUGUGACAUUUAGAAAGCCAUGGUUGUGGCUAUUUUGGAGUAGCUGAUAAGUCAGUAAUGUGGGUGACCUGUAUUGGCAAAAUUCACCAGACCAAUGUAUAGGGUGGGUCGGAAACUGUGUUUGGGUAAGGACCUUCAAAGUAUGAAGAUAUCGCCAAGUGAUGUUAUUUUAAAUAGGAGUAUUAUACAUCUAUUUGUUUGGGCAACCUGCUCACUAAACUGCAACUAAUCAUGGAUUUGCAAGUUUAAUUUCAAAGUUCACAUCAAACCCUAACUGGCUUAAAAAUUAUAACAGCCAUUGGUAAACACAUACCAGAAAACAACAAAAUUCAAAUGUGAAAUAUGAUUUCCAGUUCCACUGAGACUUAUAAUUAUCUAACUUUCUCAGCAACAAAACAACUUGCUCCCUCUUAAAGAGGGAACAAUAUUCGUUGUUAAAAAACAAAACUAGAAGAUCGCAACAGAUGGAAGCACUAGGCAAGCAAAAGAAACACAAUGUAGGUUGUGAAACAAAGUGAUGCUGGGAAAGGUUGACCGCAUCCACUAAAGAACCAGAGAGCAAAGAGACGUUGACAUUCGAUUUAGAACCAGAGCAAGAAGUGGCAAGGAAGAAAGGAAGAUAGAACAGGGAAUUUGCUUCAAUGAAGGAAACAAGACUAUCUGACAAUAAAGAGCAAAAAUGCUUUUAUGAAUGUACAUAAAGAAGAUAGAUACCGAAUUAUACAAAAUUCGGGAUCUGUUCUCGCCAGAAAAUCAUAUUAUCUUAGAAUAUAAAUUACCGCUUUCAAGUACUACAAGUUUCAAUAUAAAUGUUAAUUCGAAACGAAGAGCUUUCCCUAAUUGCUAUACCUCAAAAAAUGACAAAUAAUGUAAGACUCCUGCAAUCCAAACCGGAACCAAAUGCCAUCAAAUACACAAAUCACCAAGAUUGAAAAAUGAAAAUCUUCCCCAACAAAUUCAACCAAGUUGAAUGAACAAAACACUUUCCAACGAAACCCAUUUCCUCAAAACUUAGUUCACAGAAAACUAUACAGAGAUCAGAGACAAGCGAGUCAACACAGUGAUACAACUCAUGAUCACUACACACAAAAAAGCCAUAAAUUUGCAAAGCAAAAGACCAUACAAAGACAACAUCAAAGAACAAAUCUAGGAAAUAACAAAAUCCAAAACAUUUUCAGUUCCACUCAAUCUUAUAUUACUCCAACUUUAAAAUAGAUGUCUCAGCAACCAAAAAUAUUGUCCCCUCUUACAGAUGAGACAAAAACUCAGGAGAUGGUAACAGAUAGAAGAACCAGAAGCGAUAAGGAAGCAGAACGUAGGUUGUGAAAUGACGUGUGCUAGGAAAUUGAAAGGUUGGAGAGAUCUGUUGAAGAAGCAGAGAGCAAAGUAGCAUCCAAUGAAGAACUAGAGAGAGACAGAAGAGAAAACAACGAAAGGAAGACAGAAUCAGGACAUACAGAACUAUGCAAAUAUUUGGGUGUGGGAACUGUUCUCACCAGAAAAAACAUAUUAUCUUCGAAUGCAAAGUACCACUUUCAAAUAACGUUCAAUAUAACUCAAUAUAUAAAAGCAGAAGUUAUUAAUUCAAAAAGAAGAGCUUUCCCAAGUUGCUAUACCUCAAAAAAGCACAAAUAAUGUCACUACUCUGCAAUCCAUACCAGAACCAGGACAGAAACUAUCGAACACACAAACCACCAAGACUGAAAAAGGAAACAAAUCACACACAGACACACAAAGACAGGACCAAAGAACAAAACCAGAAAACCUUAAACUUCCUAAGCACAGACCAGAAAAACAAAAUUAAAGAACAAAACCAGAAAACAACAACAAAAUCCAAAUAUGCUCAGUUAUGCGAUAAAACUCAUAAUCACUACACAAAAAGUCCUAAAUUUGCUAAGCAAAGUGCAAUCAAAACACAGAAUCAAAGUAGAAAACCAAAACACGAAACCGAAACACAGAACCAAAGCACAAAAUCAAAACUUGUUAAGCACAGAUUAUUAGAAAACGAAAGAGAGAUGUACCGAUACACAAAUGUUGCUUAACUUCCUCCAACACAGAAGAAGAACCUAACAACCAAACACAUACAAUUUAGUUCAUGAAUCGAUAUUAUCGCAUAGAUAGUUAAGUAGAAGCUCUCAGAAAGUUAAAUUAAUUUUUACCUCAAGCGACGGAGAUUGGGGAUCACUACUGGGUCAUCCCUCAGUUCCUCGCCCACUAGCCGGAAUAUCACCUUCCCGUUCUCAGCAAAAUAGUUAGCCCGAAAGAUCAUUCUCGCCGUUUCACCGCCGGAAAGCACGGCGGUGACAUGAAUGCUCCGAUGAAUACGAGAACUUAAGCUUCGGUUUAUGAACUUGCUGCCCUUGAUCUCUCUGCUCUCCCCAGGUCCGAGCCUAUCAAUCAGCCUGCCCCGCCUUUCAUCGCCCUCCACCUCCGUUAUCUCAAGAACCACACCCGGACUCGUCGCAUUCACGAGCUCCACCGAUCGACUGAGAAAGCCACCCAUUGAAAAGUCGAUUUUCCCCACCCAAACCACCGGAAGCCCACGCCAAAAGGAUCUCCAUGUCGCGCGCUCAUUUUAUAGGGUUUCCUCCCCACGCGUUUCCAUUUUUUUUUUGGCGGGGGACGUUGGAGGCCGCAAUGUUUUGGCUUCUAGAUGCUGCCUGCUGCUCGAGCGUCGUGGAUUCAAGAAUCUAACUAGUAAAAGUCGCAGAUCCCACGGAGAACAAACUUAUUCCCUUUCCCAGAGAAGCUGAAACUAGUAUCGUUUGUCAGAAAUACCCCUAACUUUAUUCACAAUUACAAAUGGAAAAAACAGUUAUUUUUUUGGAAAACUAACCAAAACACCCUCAAAACUUUACUUUUAAUCAUAAGGACAGAUUUUUUCAAAAAUGCCAAUCCUACCCUUCACACAUAAAGAAAAUGUGGCAAACUCUGCAGCAACCAAGACAACAUAAAUUCACAUGACAUUCAAGCAAAGACAAGAUAGCCAGCUUUCAGAAACAGUGUCACUAUUCAGAAAAUUGUAAAUAGAUGAAAUGUUAUUUUAAAGAUUUAGAUUUUGUAUAUAAGGGAGUCUUUCCUCCCAUACAGAACAUAUCUCUCUCAACAUCUGAAAACACCAUACUCACUUCAUACACUCUAGCAUUCGUAGCCUUCAUAGCAUCCUUGUAAACACUUCUUUGUAAUCACUUUCUUGUAAACAACUAUCACUGUAAACAUUCCAUAUAUCAAUAAAAGUUCAAAUGUACAUAUUCAAGCAAUCUCCAAGUCUUAAGUAAGUUUUCUUUUCCUUACUUAGUGUGUUUGUUUAAUUAGACUUCUAGUCCAAAACAGGGAAACACUAUUGUGGUUAUAUUAUUACCCUGCUAAACUGACGAUCAUACUUUGUUCGAGCACUCUGUUAUAGUUGAAUGUUUGCCAUACAAAUAACUGGACAUUAACCAGGGUACCUCUGAGUUCUUCGUACCUCUGAGUUCAGCCUUUAAGGCCUUAUACUUGUACUGUGGGUGGCCGUCAUGCUGAAACAUGUCGAGUUCCAUGUGCAAGGUUCUAUGUCUAGUUGUUAUAAUGGUCAUCCGACUAUUUAACCGAGCAUGCGUUUCGAAUUUGGUAUCAGAGCCAAGUUUAGCAUUUUAAUAAUAUAAGCAUAAUAGUAAAGUACCUUGAGGAUAGAAGUCAUUGAUACAACUGAUAUCAUAUUUGUUUAUUGUGUAUGAACAACAGAUAUUAUUGUCCCAGACAUCCAACUAUAACUAGCAUAAAGAGAAGAUUAACAUAUAUAUCCAAAAGAAUUAUUAGUACUUUGAAGAAACAAAAGUUUUAUCUUGGCUAUCUUGAACAUCCUUCAUUUAUUCGUAAAUAUAAUAAUACAGAAGUGCAGCAUAAAGUUUUGGAAGCAAAAAGAACAACAGAUCAAGCUUUAGAGACCUUGAGAGAAGAAAGAGAGUUUUUAAGAAAUCAGUUAGCUGUAACUCUAGAGAAGGGAAGACUGUAGUUUAUGAUAGAUUAUCUUAAUUUAGAAAUUAGUGAACCCCAAAAAAGAAAAAUAACUUUAGACCAAAAUAGUUUAGUUUGUUAUUUUCCAUCAAGAAAGCAUAAUCAUAUUUUGCACAGUGAAGAAAAUCCGCAAGCCAAUAGUAUUAUAGAUCUUAUUAUUAGUCAAGCAGAAAAUAUAAAAUUAGAAAAUAAUAAGCAUAAUCAUUUGUUAAACCAGUUGUUAGAACAUUUUCAGAAAAAAUCCAUAAAGAUAAUUAGACAAAAUUUAGAUUAUAUUACAUCUCAGUUAGAAGAUAAUAAUAAAAAUAUUCAAAGGUUUCCUAGCAAAAGAGAGAUAAAAGAGCUUGUUGACCUCAUAGAUAGUAAGCCAAAGCAAGUAGAACUUAGGUCAUUAGAAAUAGUUGAACAACUAAAAUUAGAAGUUCAAAAAAUUCAAUUUGUACAAAAGGAGUUGAGAGAACAAGUAGAUAAGUUGCAUAAUAAAAUAGACAAAUUAUUAGUUUAAUGACAGAUUCUAGAACUAGCAGAAAAUAUAUUCAAGCUUUGAAAGAAAUUAGUAAAUUAGAUAAAGACCCAGUAGGAUUAACAGAUUUUUCAACACAAGUAUCCAGUAGUAAUAUUCCCAUUAGGCAAAAUAAUUUGAUUAUCCAAUUAGUUUUAAGUCUAGCUGAAAAAUUAGAUCAAGUUGAAGAACAAAUAGCAGAAAUAAACCAAGUUUUACAUAACGCAUCUUCAUCACUUCCACCAUCCUUGCUAGAUAAAUUAGAAAAUUUAACUUUGAGUGCAAAUAAUAAUAGAAGACCUAAGCUAAAUCCUUUUGAUAAUAGAAAAUGGAACUCUUUAGGAAAAAAAGAAAAGAAGUAGUUAGAGCGGAAGAUAUUUAUCCAAAUGAAGAAGAAGCACAAGAAUUUAUUCGAAGAGGUUUUGAGAGAACACAGAAAAAUAAAUAUAACUUGUAUCAACUAAGUUUAUUUGAAAACAGAAGUAGAAUUGUAAGCAGCAUCAGUCAACAUGAAGUUAGUUGUAUUGAUAAAGAAGUCACACUUAAUCUAAUUAGUAAAGAAGCAGUUACUCAUUUGAGAAAAUCACAUUUUAGUCAGAUUCAUAUAGGAACAAUAUUAAUUGGAAUAGCAGGAUUAACCAGAGCACAAGUAGGUACAAAGGCUUUAGUAUGCAUAUAUGAUGAUAGAUAGGAUAAUCACCAACAAGCAGCAAUAGCAACAGUUGAAGUAGACUUAAGCUCAAACUUAGCAGUCAUAGGUUGCAUUCCAAAUUAUGUUAUGACGAUUAAUGAAUUUAGUAAAUAUAUUAAAGUGAGCAUAAGAACAAAAAAUUAUAAUAUGAAAGGAGAAUAUAAAAAUUUGUGUAUUAGCUUAAUGUAUAUAGGUAAAGUGUCUGAUAGAUAUAAUCAUAAGUUUAAUUUAGAGUUUCAAAAUUUAGUUCAAACAUUUGGCAGUAAGCAAGUAAAUAUGAUAGAAGCAAAACCCGUAGAUAAUAGCUUUUUAGAAGGAACUCAGUGGACAUUGCCCAAUUUACAAGUAGCACAAAAUAGACAACCAGAUAAAGUACAAAUAUAUGAAACUAGUACAGGUCAAGCAACAAUUAGGUUUAGUAAUUAUAAGCAACUAGAAAAAAUAGAAGAAGAUGAGAGUGAAAUUGAAAAUGAAAGUGUGAACACGGAAAAUUCCUGAAACGAAAGAGACAAGAACAACGUGCACAAACAAAUAUUUGUAUUUUUGAUGAUUUUGGGUUACAAUCUCUCUCUAUUUUGAUCAUCUGAUUCGAUCUCCGUAAGGUGUGUAUUUGUCGAUGUGUGAUUGAUCCAAAGGGCCGUUGGGCUUGAUCUAAGGAUGAACGUUCUUCAAGGGCCGUGGACUUGAUCUUGAAGGUGGAUUUGAGCGGAUCCUCAAAGGGGCUUUUGGGCUUGAUCUUUGAAGAACAGUGAUGAACGGAUCUCCAAGGGCUUUUGGGCUUGAUCUUGAAGAACAAUGAUGAACGGAUUUUCAAGGGCUUUUGGGCUUGAUCUUGAAGAACGGUUGAAUGUGUGGAUUUGUCGACGUUGUUGAUCCAAAGGGCCGUUGGGGCUUGAUCUUGGAUGAACGGAUGAUGAACGAUGGUGCUUUCUUCAAGGGCCGUCGGGGCUUGAUCUUGGAAGAACGAUGAACGAAGAAUGAAGAACACUUUCUUCAAGGACCGUCGGGGCUUGAUCUUGAAUUGGUGGAUGAUUGUUGAUCCAAAGGGCCGUUAGGGCUUGAUCUUGGAAGAACGAUGAACGAAGAACGAAGAAGGCUUUCUUGAUUCUUCGGGAAUCUGGAUGCUUGAGAGCUUCGGCGUUUCAGAGCUUCAGAGCUUCAAGGUGUAAUAUGAAUUGGUCCUCCUCCAAUGAAUGAAAUGGGCUUGUAUUUAUAGAAUUUUCCAAUGCCUAAUUUUGAAUAUAAUAUCUCAGAUGAAAUAAGUCGUUUCUGCCAGGUGUUGACACGUGUCCUAUUUGAUGACUUUUCCAACUCAUUUCAAUUUUCGUUGAGCCACACGCUACGUGUAAAAUUUAUGUAAUACAUGAGCGUUGACACUUUGAUUUAUCGGUCAACAUUUAUUUACCGAAAUUUCGAUGUCUACAAAUGCCCCCACUUCAAGGCGCGUCGUAUACAUGUGAUUGUCACGUGUAGGAGAUGCGUUUUGGAGUCCCUUACUGUAGAUGUCGAUCCAAGGGCAGUUGAGGCUUGAUCUUGAAUUGGGCUGGAGAUUUCUUCAAGGGCCGUCAAGGCUUGAUCUUGAAUUGGGCUUGAGAUUUCUUCAAGGGCCGUUGAGGCUUGUUCUUGAACUUUUGUUUGAAAUUUCUUCAAGGGCCGUCGAGACUUGAUCUUGAAGGUUGAAAUUGGGCCACAAGGAGCUUCAUGUGGUAGAUGAUUUUUGGCUUUGGUAGUGGAUGAAUCGGCACGUAUUUUGUUGCGCUUGUUGACUUUCCACAGCUUUGAUCUUGAACUGGGUUGGAGGAUUUUCUGGAUUCCUCCAAUUGUUGAUUUUCCACAGCUUAUUCUUGAACUAGGUUUUGAUUCAAGGGUGGUAGACACUUGAUCUUGAAUCAGACUUGUGAUUUCUUCCAGGGCCGUCGAGGCUUGAUUUCGAAUUUGGCUGAAAGCUUCUUCAAGGGACGUUGAGGCUUGAUUCUUGAAGGUUGACUCGAACACAUGACAAGCAGGCACGAGGUGAAGGUGACAACUUGUUGCUCUGUUCAAUCUUUCUAAUUCACACCUGAGCAGUUUGGUCAACGGUAUGAUCUUCAAGAUUGAUGGGCUCUUCUUCCAGUUGGUGACUUGAUCUUUAAGGAUUUGAUUCAAGGGUGGUGAAUCGGCACGUGCAGCCCACAACGCCUAGUAAGUCGACCCAAGAAUUUGAGGGUCAAAACAAGUUCACCGUCCUCAGGCAGAUGCGACAUCUUCUCGAGUUCUUCAUCUCAGACUCUUUCUGCUGAGUUGACUGUGCAUGCUGCAUUCUUCUCUGCUUGUUUCUUCAGGCAGAUGUGGCAGCUUCUCGAGUUUCUCAGUUCGGACUCCUUCUGCUGAGUUGACCGUGCCGACCGCAUUCUUCUCUGCUUGUUCCUUCUGCACCUUGUCUCCACAUGCUGCAAGGUAUCAUUUUCACUUGCCUUAUCUGUUCUCCAGGCAGAUGUGGCAGCUUCUUUGAAAGUACAGCAGCAGUGGAAGGCGAGUACUCGAGAGCAGUGCUAGGUAGGCAAUCAGGGAAGGGUUCCAAGCAGUCGGUUCCUUACCCGAGUUUGAGUGGAAGUUCCGGCAUAUUGUUUUCUUUAUCUUUGUCUUUGUAGGUAAGAACAAGGACAAAGGAAAGGACAGGGAGAACGCAUGAUAUGAGAUACUCUUGCUUUCUACCCUGGUGAUAUGAGAUACUUUUGCUUUGGAGCUAUUGGCUUGCAGAGGUACCCCAAGGAAUAAGGAACACUGAAUGACUCGAGAGGUUUCGUUGGGAAAGCAUUUUUUUUUUCUUGAAGAUGAAGAAAUGCUCUGUAUGUCUGCCUUGCUAUGGAAGGUGAAGGUGGACAGUUAUAGGAGGUCCCUUAAUACCUGUAGAGGUACUAUUCUUUCACUCGUGUCGGCAACUAACGCGUGAUUGAACAGUAAACUUCACGUGCUUUCUCCUUCACCGAAAAUCUUCGACAAAUUGCCCGUGAUUUGCGCAAAGUUGAGUGUGCAUAUGACAGGUGAUGACGCGGCUGAAAAAGACUGGCGACUCUUCGAUAUCUAGGAUUGGCGCUUCGACAAAUUACCCGUGAUUUCUGCAAAGUUGAGUUUGAGUGUGACGGGUGCCGACGCGUCUGGAAAAGCAAGAUGCUUCUCCGAUUUCUGAGCUUGCCUCUUCGAUUUUUGAAUGGCCUCUUCGAAUUCUGAGCUCGCCUCUUCGAUCUCUGAAAUCCCGUCGAGUGCUGAUUUUUUAUAGAGGCAUGCAGUUCGUUUCAAAGCACACUUGAAUUUUCGCUUGUGAAAACUCCCCCUCUUGUACUUCUAAGAUCUUGAUUUGUCCGAUCUCUUCUUCCUUCAACACUUUGAAAAUGUCUGGACCCUCCGACCGUCGUUUUGAUUUGAACCUUGGUGAAGAGGUAGUCCCGUCUUCUCCAGAUAACGUAUGGCGCCCAUCCUUCAUAUCCCCUACUGGUCCUCUUACUGUUGGGGAUUCGGUGAUGAAGAAUGAUAUGACCGCUGCGGUGGUGGCCCGGAACCUUGUCACUCCCAAAGAUAACAGACUACUUUCCAGGCGGUCUGAUGAGUUGGCUGUUAAGGAGUCCCUGGCUCUUAGUGUGCAGUGUGCGGGUUCUGUGUCCAACAUGGCCCAACGCCUAUUUGCUCGAACCCGUCAAGUUGAAUCGUUGGCGGCUGAAGUGAUGAGUCUCAAACAGGAGAUCAGAGGGCUCAAGCAUGAGAAUAAACAGUUGCACAAGCUCGCACACAACUAUGCCACAAACAUGAAGAGGAAAAUUGACCAGAUGCAGGAAUCUGAUGGUCAGAUUUUACUUGAUCAUCGGAGGUUUGUGGGUUUGUUCCAACAACAUUUGCCUUCGUCUUCUAGGGUUGUACCGCGUAGUGAAGCUCCAAAUGAUCAACCUUUGGCUCCUCUUCUUCCUGGAGUUCCGCCGAGUACUGAGACACCACCUGAGCAAUAAAGACUCCUUCCCAUUUGUUUGCACAUUUGUAAAUUUUUUUUUUUUUUUUUUUUUUUUUUUUUUUUUUUUGGUAUGUAGAAUGCAAUUUUAUGUAAAAAUUCCCAGAAAAAUAAAUAAAAUGGACUUUAUUUCUCUCAAUGUAUUUUUUUUUUGCUAUAUACAUACAUAUAUUAUGUACAUACAUGUAUAUGUAUAUUUACAUGGUACAAUCCGCACCAUCCCACCUUCCUACUUCCCUUUUUUUAUUCUUUAUUUUAUUAUUAUUAUUAUUUUUUUUUAUUUUUUUUAUUAUACUUUCCUGCGGUGCCAGAGGCACCAUUCCUUCUCCUUAUAUAUAUAUAUAUAUAUAUAUAUAUAUUGCCUUUAAUUAUGGUGCCAGAUGCACCCCUCCCCCCUUUUUCACGUGGUGCCAGAUGCACCACCACCUCCUUUUUUUUUUUUUUUUUUUUUUUGUAUUAUAUAUUUUUUCUGUAUAAAUUUGGAUGGUGAGUUGAGGAAUUUGCAGGGAUGGUCGGGGAGCUUCGGAGCACCACCACAUAGCACCGCCACUGAGCACAACCGUUGCACUGCGUGUCGUCACGGAGGAAGGGAUCACUAGAUGCCGCUGCUCCCAAUUAGAUCGAAAUUAGGGCUCUGAUCAACGAUUCCCAACCCGGCGUUGCUGUCGAAAUCGAUGGGGCUGUUGUGGUGGUUGCCCUUCCCGCUCUGCAACAGCCGCUUGAGUCCACACGACAUGUCGUCCACAUCCCCGGCUAUCCACCUCAGCAGAGACUGGUCGUGGGCCGGAGACGCUGCCGUUUCGGAGAGCAUAGUCUCCCAAUCCUCCAAACCCGCCAAGCCCAAGGCCGCACUUCUCGACCCCUCCUCCCGAUCCGGUCACGGCCUCCAAUCCGCCGCUCCGAAUCGACUGGAGCUCGCAGGCCCACUCGUCUUUCGACGACUCUGGACCCCCAGCAGGCAAAGUCUCCGCAGCCAGCGACGUCGAUUUGUCACCGCCACCACUGCCGUUUAAAAGACGAAGAGAGAAUGGAAGAGGGUCACAGCGGAAAGUGCGAAGAUGAGAGUCCUAGCUUUGAUUUCGAAGGCUGCGAGGGAGAGAGAGAUUGGGCCUGGGCUGCAUUUUUUGGGUGUCUUGAGGAAUUCCCUGGUUGCAGUUCUUCGCACAUGAAACAGUUUGUAGCAAGCAGAGUUGUCGACAAUGGUUGCAGCUCAGGCUUCGUCUCCGUCGCCAAGUCAGUCCCCGAAGGAGUCGUUUGGCGUUACAAGUUUCUCUGGCCUCUGCUCGAUUAUUAAUUUGGGCGUUUUGCGCUUACCUUCAAUAACCAUCAUCCGGCAGCGGGGAGGAAGGUGGCGGAUGAUGAUGAGUUGGGUGGGACCCUGACACGCUCACACGAGGGGCACAUGGUGAGUGUUGUGGGCGGAAACGCCCGCUUCGUUUUCGCAGUCGACCGUCGAAGGAAGACGACGGAGUCUGGGCCAUGGUGCUGGAGUGAUCCAGAAACUGAAGAUGAAGAAGCAAGGUUGUAGCAGGGCACUGCUGAGAUCGACAAUCGGAGAUGGAGGCUUGGCCGUCGAUGGCGACGGAGUACGGAGCUUCUGAUUUUGAACUGGAUCGCCGGCAUGCAAAUCGUUUUCUUCACCUGAUUGUUCCUUCUCUUGGAGCAAUGGCGCUUGCAGGGACCGGAAGCAGAUCCUGUGUUGGAAGUUUCUUCACUGCUGCUAUCUGAUGUUUCAGACUCAUCUUCUUUACAUUCAUCGUCAUCAUCAUCUUCUAGCAUUCUUUUCUCAAGUUCAAUUGGAUCUAACCCCGCCAAUUGCUCAAAUCUACGAAGCUUCUGCAGAAGGUGAUGCUUUGUUCUCUGUACAUUGGCAUAGCUGCACUCCAAAUCACAACCGUCUUCGUCGUCAUCAUCCUCACCGUCACCGUCACGUCCCUCGUCGUCGUCUUGGAACGGAGGGUCCAAUACAGAAACAGGACUGCAUUGUUCCUUCUCUUCCUCCUCUUGUUUGUGGCGCUCAUCUGCUUCAUAAUCUACCCAAUCUCCGCCUCGAUGGGGCGGUUGGAAAUUGAACUUAGAAGCUGGACCACGUCGUCGGAUAUUUGGUUGGAGCGCGAAACGGCGUCGUUGCAGACGGAGAAAAGGUUGGCGAAAUCCUGGUGGUGAGGGAGGAGGUAAGAUUGGAUUUUGGACUUGAUUUGGAGCGAGUGGGAGUCGAGGCGUUGGAUGAGGAGGCGGAGAUCCGGCGCAGACAGAGGGGUCGUGGGGUCGCUGAGGUCCUGCGCCGACAGGAGCUCUCGGACGUUGAUUGAGUCGAAUAGGGCGUCCAUUUCCGGCGGAUCGGACGGCUGGGUCUUAAUCCACUGCAAGCAAGGCCUGAUGCUGCAAUUCUCGCUGCAGCCCUUGCGGAGUAUUCGACAUCCAUUACAGCUUAUCCGCAUUUUCGCUUUCUUCUUCUUCAAAACAGAGAGAUGGGCUUUUCUGGGUAUUUUGAGAGAGAGAGAGAAACGGGCCUGGGCUGGUGCCUUUUGUUGCACCCGGGCCUAGACAUAUACAUAUAUAUAUUUCUUUUUUUUUUUUUUUUUUUUUUGUAAAUACAUAAUAACAUAUGUAUUCAUUUUUUUAUUUUAUUUUAUUUUUUCGAAGAAACUGUAAUUUAAUUUUGUCAAAGAAAAAUUGCAGAUUUUUUUUUAAACAAAAUAAAUUUGUAAUAAAAUUGUCCUUCAUCAAUGAAACUUUAAUCAAACCCUUUUUUUUUUUUUUGAUGUGACUGAACUCGAAAUUGAAUGCUCGAGCUGCCUACGUACCCCUCUAAAGAAGAGAUCAAGUCGUAACGUAGUUCAAAUACAUUUUUUUUUGUGUUUUUUUUGUUUUUUUUUUGGUAUUUUCUUUUGGUGCCGUUUGCAGUUUCAACUCGUGCAGGCAAGGAGAAUUUGGUGUUGCCUUUUAUGCUCGUGCAGACCAGGAGCGUUGGUGUUGCCUUUUAUGCUCGUGCAGACCAGGAGCGUUGGUUCGUGCAGUUUAGGCUCGUGCGAACAAGGAGCUUUGGUUCAUGCAGUUUAGGCUCGUACGAACAAGGAGCAUUGGUUCGUCAAGCGAUCUGAGAGAGUUGUUCCUCGCAAUCUUCAUAGCAAGGAGCCUUGACUGAGUAGUUGAAGAAGUCUUCUGGGAAGAUGUCACGCAUCAUGAUGGGGAUGGAUGAUCUUCGUGUCAAAGUUUCAUUAUCUCCAACACUUUCACAUUGUUCUGGAGGUGAAUAGGAGCUGUUUUGCCCCCUUUCCCAUUGGUGAGCUUGUGGAGAAGACAUAUGCUUCUUGUGCAAUUUCUUCGGAGUGACAUAAGUCUAUCCUUCAACUUCACUCGGCUUGACUGGCAUGUUUUUGGAGCAUGCCCCCAGCGAUUGAGGUGAAAAUUUUGAGUUGGCAGAGCCGAAAGUGACGUCUUCUUCCAGGAUUUCGUCUUCUUUGUCUUCUUGGGCCUUCUCUUCAGUGCGGUCCUCUUGGGUUUGUUGCCGUGAAGAUUGGCCGGUGUAGAUGAUGGUGUGCCUCCUUACCUUCAAUGGUCCUUUUGUGUCGACUUCCAAAGUUGCUUGGCGCUUCAUCUUUGAAGGAAUCAAGCUUUGAACAUCGUCCUUUCCUGCUAGACCGUCGAGCUUCUCUCCCUUUGGCGUUGUCUUCCUGUUUCUAGAAAGCUUCUUAGUUUCUUCGAGUCUGUCCAAAGCCGACCGUUGCGGAGGAGAUCUAGCUGUGCCACUUUGUUUCUUGGGUUUUGAUAACCUUUCAAAGACUGAUCUUUGCGGUAUUGGCGUCUCAAGCCUUUUGAAGACGGAAGUUUGGUCUCGACCACUGAUGCGAUCAAGUGCUGCAAUUCUAGGUUUUGAAUAAUUCAGCCUUUCGAAUACUGAAGUUCGAGGGGCGGGUUUAGGCUCCUCUUUUGGCCUUGUGGCUUGUGGUCUUGGCUUCCUCGUUUUUUUGUAGGUCACCGAUGUCCACCCUUUCUUAUCACCAGUAGAUGCAUCUUGGUUGCUUGCCCCCGGUGAUGGUUGUGUAGGAGGUGCCAUGUGACUUGAACAUUGACGGGAAUGGUCAUGCAUGCUUCGGAGAUGCACAGGAUCGAGUGAUUCAAACACGAUAGUAGUAGUGUGUGCCGCAGCCGUGUCUUCGAGGUCAAGCUCGAUUUCCCCUUGUUGUGCUAGCUUCAGGAUGAGAUCUUUCAGUACGAAGCACUUUUCCGUUGGAUGACUGAUGAAGCGGUGGAAUUUACAGUAUCUUGGGUUGUAUGUACGAUUCAUCUCUUCCGGCCGUCUGCACUCAGGCAAACUGAUCACUUUCUUGUCCAACAGGUCAUCCAGCAUGGCAACCACAUCAGAGUCGGGGAAUGGAUAAGUUUUCUCCUCAAGCUCCUUCAAAGUGCGUCUACGCAUCUCUUGAUCACGAAAGCCUUCGGCUUGAAUCGCCUUGCCUCGUGUGGAUAUUUUGACGGAAGAUGUGUUGACCGUCAUCGCUUCCUUGGUGGGUUUCCAUGCAGCCUUUUCCACCUUUGUCCCAAGAGCUUUGUCGUUCUUGUAGUCGGCGAUCGGUUCUUUCUUCCCAUGAUGGGCGAUGCUCAACUCCAUGUCAUGGGCGCGAGUGGCCAAUUCCUCGAAGGUCCGCGGUUUAAUGCCUUGAAGGAUGUAUUGCAAACCCCAUUGCAUGCCUUGGACGCACAUCUCGAUUGAAGAGGUUUCCGAGAGCCUGUCUUUACAGUCGAGGCUUAGAGUGCGCCAUCUGUUGAUGUAGUCAAUGACUGGCUCGUCCUUCCACUGCUUUGUGCUGUUUAGCUCUAGCAUGCUCACAGUGCGGCGGGUGCUGUAGAAGCGGUUGAGGAAUUCCCGUUCUAAUUGCUCCCAGCUGUUGAUGGACUCAGGCUCUAGGUCCGUGUACCACUCAAAGGCAUUUCCUUUCAGCGAGCGCACAAACUGCUUGGCGAGGUAGUCUCCCUCCGUCCCCGCGUUGUUGCAAGUUUCGACGAAAUGUGCAACGUGCUGCUUUGGGUUUCCUUUUCCAUCAAACUGCAUGAACUUUGGUGGUUGAUAACCCCUUGGCAUCUUUAGGGCAUCAAUCUUCUUGGAAUAGGGCUUCGAGUAGAACAAUGAUGUAUGUGAGCUCCCUUCGUACUGUGCCUUGAUGGUGUUGGUGAUCAUCUCCUGCAGCUGCUGGAUAGAAAGAGAUCCCAUGAGUGCCGCUGCUUGGUCUGGCUCCGGCUUCCCAUCGAUUUUCUUCACCGGGGGUUCUUCGUUUCCGCCAGCUCCUCCUUUUAGUGGAUCAUCCUCUGGGUCGGGUUUAUCGUCGUCCUGCGCCUCCAGUCGGUUGACUAGUGCUGCAAUUUGCAAGUCUUUUUCUUCCACAGUUCGGGUUAGCCUUGCGAUUGCUUCAUUCAUUUGAGCUAGCUGCUCAUCGAUUGAAGUUGCUCCAAUAGUCAUGACUUGCAUGGCUGAACUGUCGCUUGAAUCGGCAUCGGAGAGCAUGGAUUCGGAGUAUUUCCUUGGGCUUUCCCCCCUUGGUGCCCUUAGUGAGGCUAAGGUGAUCAAAGGCUCAUGCCUUGGGUGCUUUUGUUCCCUUGGCAGAGUUGAUGCAGAGGUGAAAGAGGCGGCAGAAGUAGCUCUUGCCAUGCUUCGAGUCGUGAUGCCCAAAGUGACACCAGUUGCGACGAGGACGCUUUUGUUCUUUGCGCCGGUUGCGGGAACAGUUUGAGCCUUCCUUGAUGCCAUUAAUUUUGGAAGUGUGCUCGAAUUUCUUGAACGGAGAAAGAGAUGAGAGGCAGAGAUGAUCCCACCGGGCGUGCCAAUUUGUGAACACGGAAAAUUCCUGAAACGAAAGAGACAAGAACAACGUGCACAAAAAAAUAUUAGUAUUUUUGAUGAUUUUGGGUUACAAUCUCUCUCUAUUUUGAUCCUCUGAUUCGAUCUCCGUAAGGUGUGUAUUUGUCGAUGUGUGAUUGAUCCAAAGGGCCGUUGGGCUUGAUCUAAGGAUGAACGUUCUUCAAGGGCCGUGGACUUGAUCUUGAAGGUGGAUUUGAGCGGAUCCUCAAAGGGGCUUUUGGGCUUGAUCUUUGAAGAACAGUGAUGAACGGAUCUCCAAGGGCUUUUGGGCUUGAUCUUGAAGAACAAUGAUGAACGGAUCUUCAAGGGCUUUUGGGCUUGAUCUUGAAGAACGGUUGAAUGUGUGGAUUUGUCGACGUUGUUGAUCCAAAGGGCCGUUGGGGCUUGAUCUUGGAUGAACGGAUGAUGAACAAUGGUGCUUUCUUCAAGGGCCGUCGGGGCUUGAUCUUGAAUUGGUGGAUGGUUGAUCCAAGGGCCGUCGGGGCUUGAUCUUGGAAGAACGAUGAACGAAGAAUGAAGAACACUUUCUUCAAGGACCGUCGGGGCUUGAUCUUGAAUUGGUGGAUGAUUGUUGAUCCAAAGGGCCGUUGGGGCUUGAUCUUGGAAGAACGAUGAACGAAGAACGAAGAAGGCUUUCUUGAUUCUUCGGGAAUCUGGAUGCUUGAGAGCUUCGGCGUUUCAGAGCUUCAGAGCUUCAAGGUGUAAUAUGAAUUGGUCCUCCUCCAAUGAAUGAAAUGGGCUUGUAUUUAUAGAAUUUUCCAAUGCCUAAUUUUGAAUAUAAUAUCCCAGAUGAAAUAAGUCGUUUCUGCCAGGUGUUGACACGUGUCCUAUUUGAUGACUUUCCAACUCAUUUCAAUUUUCGUUGAGCCACACGCUACGUGUAAAAUUUAUGUAAUACAUGAGCGUUGACACUUUGAUUUAUCGGUCAACAUUUAUUUACCGAAAUUUCGAUGUCUACAGAAAGUAUACAUAUGGCUUUUGAUAAUUUAGAUAUUAAUUUAGUUGAACAAAAUUUUGAUCAUAUUGUAGAUAAACUUAUAGAAGAUAUUGAUCAUUUAGAUGAAGAACAAUAUUUGGAAAAAUAUAAGACAUAUGAUUUAGGACUACAUAAAAUUUCAAACGAAGAAAUGAAAAUUUUAAUCUUAGAAAUAGGAGUAGAACACAUUUUAGGAUCAAAAGAAUAUAAUAAUUUAUUAGAAUUGAAAGCAGAAUGUAAUCCGGCAGAAGAAAGUAGUACAUCAGGAGUAGAAAAUCCAGGAUACGCAAGCAGAUCCGAUCAACAAUUUUUGAGACCAACAAAUGAACAAUAUAAUGAAAAAGCAAAAGUAGAUUAUAUAGAAGAAAGUAUGAUAAAACUUAGAAAAAAUAGGAUUCCAUAUUUGAGAGGGUUAGAACAAAUUAAUAUAGCUGGUAAUAUAUUAAAUUUAGAUAAUGUAGAUCCACAAGAUUGGGAAAGAACGAUUGAGAGAUGGGAAAAAGGCUGCGUACAUGCAGCAUUAAUGUUAGAUUUUAGUAAUUCACAAAACAUGUUAGAUUACUUUGAACAUACUUUGUAUGGUUUAGUUUUUUAUUAUUUCCAAUCAUGGAAAGUUCAAAAUCCAGAACAACAUCAGGCAGCUAAAACACAUUUUAAUAUUGAUGGUUUUGUUACUUUGAUUAAACAAGAGUUUUUAGAUCAUAAUAGGUUAGAUGGCAGAAGUGAACAAGAACAAAUAAGAGCAAUCAGAAAUUUAGAACAAUUACAAAUUUGCGAUUUACAGUAUAUAGCUGAGUAUACCACAGAUUUCUUUAAAUAUUUAGGAAGAACAGGUAGAAUUAGUGAUAUUAAUUUAUUAGAUACUUAUAUGACAAAAAUAAAAGGACCAAUAGGUGAAAAGAUUUGGAAUGAAUGGCAAAAGCAUUCGAAGAAAAAUGAUAUUGCUAUAGGACCUAGAAUUCAACAUGUAUAUGAUAUACUUAGACAAGAGUGUAGUCAAAUAAAGGCUAAGAGACAAAUCAGGAAGCAAUUUUACAUGAGUUGUAAAAAUAUAGAUUUACCACAACAGUAUGGUUGCCAUAAGAAAAAUAAGCAUAAGAAAAUGUACAAAAAGAAAUAUAAGCAUAUAAACCCUACAACAACAUAAGAAUUUCAGUAUAAGACCUUCAAGAACAUAUAGGAAGAGAAAAUAUAUUCCAAAACAAUUUAGAAAAAGAAGUGGCAGACCUUGGAUUAGGAAAUAUAAAGCACCAAAAGAUAAGAGUAGUUGUAAAUGUUAUUCAUGUGGAGAAGCUGGACAUAUUAGACCUAAAUGUCCAAAAUUAGGUAAACAGUCGAAAGAAAAAGUAUAUUUGAUGGAGUUGUUUAAGUUAGAAGAAGAUGAGGAUAUUCAGUCAAUAUACAGUUUAGAUAAUUUAAGUGAUAAUGAGAGUAUUUAUAGUAUAGAAAGUAUUAACAUAAUAGAUUCAGAUUCGGAAGAUUCAAGUAGUACAAAUAGUGAUCUAGAAGAAUAUAUGUGUGCAUUCAUAGAAGAACAACAUGAAGAAGAAUAUAAAUACAUUAAUUUAGGUUGGCCAGAAAAAUGUCAUAAGUGUAAUAAAUUAGUUGCAAAUAAAUACUACAAUACAUACUCAAUAUUAUGUGAAAAAUGUUAUAGUAAUAGGUUAUUAGAAGUUAAUUCAGCAGAAUCUGAAAUAUUAGGAAAUAUUGUUCAUAGUAUAGAAAAACCAAAAAGUAGUUCCUUAAUCACUAUAAAUUGCGAAAUAGAAUUAGCAAAAGAACAUAAGAUACAAACCAUAGCUAUGAUAGAUACAGGGAGUACAAAGAGUGUCAUAAGAGAAGAGUUAGUACUAGAAAAAUAUAGACAAAAAUUAACAAAACCAGUAAGAAUAACACAAUUUGAUGAGAGACCAGUUUACUUAACACAUUGUAUAAAUAAUGAGUUUAUUAAAGUAGAAAACAACAAUUUAAUUUACCAUUAACAUUUGUUUCACCAGUAGGAUCAUAUCCAUUUAUUUUAGGAUUAAACUUUUUGAAAAGUUUGCAAGGUUUUUUAUUUAUGAACCCUAACAUAACAUUUUUCAAAAGAGGCAUUACAAUAAUUGAUCAAAGUAAUACUGUAGAAGCAUACAAAAACAUAAGUAUAGAAGAGACUAGUGGCCAAGAUAGUUAUCAUUUAGAAAACUCAAAAGAAAAUGAUGAGCAUAAUAAUGUAGAAGAGUUUGAUGAAGACAUCUUUGAACAUGAAUACCCAAUUUUAGAAAAAAUGAACCUGUAUAGAAAUAUUACAGUUAGACAGACCAAAGAAUUUAGAAGAAUUGUUACAAUUAGCAGAACAAACUAGAAUUAUAGGAGAAGACCCACAGUUACAUUGGAGCAAAAAUAAAAUACUAGCAAAAUUAGAUAUAAUUAACCCAGAUUUAACCAUUAAGACGGCUGAUAUGCCUUGUAGUCUAAUAGAUAAACAAGAGUUUGAGCAGCAAAUAAAAGAGUUGUUAAAUUUAAAAGUAAUUAGACCAUCUAAGUCUAGACAUAGAUCAGCAGCAUUUAUUGUAAGAAAACAUUCGGAAUUAAAAAGAGGUAAGGCUAGAAUAGUUUAUAAUUAUAAGAGAUUAAAUGAUAAUACAUACGAAGAUAGUUAUAAAUUACCAAAUAAGGAUGAGCUUAUAAACAAAAUUCAAGAGUGUAAAUAUUUUAGCAAAUUUGAUUGUAAAUCAGGUUUUUGGCAAAUAAGAUUAGCAGAAGAAUCAAUUGAGUUAACAACCUUUACUUGUCCAGAAGGACAUUUUGAAUGGCUCGUUAUGCCAUUUGGACUUAAAAAUGCUUCAUCGAUCUUUCAAAGAAAGAUGGACCAAAUUUUCAAGAAAUAUGAUAAUUUUUGUAGUGUUUAUGUAGAUGAUAUUUUAGUACAUAGUAAAAAUAAAAAUGAACAUAGGAAGCAUUUAGAGAUAGUAUUACAAGAAUUUAUCAAUAAUGGAAUUGUAAUUAGCAAAAAUAAAAUAGCAUUAGAAAAGCAAGAUAUAGAAUUUUUAGGAAUGUAUAUCAAGUCAGGUACAAUCCAAUUACAAGAUCAUAUAGCUAAAAAGGUGUUAGAAUUUCCAGAUAAAUUAGAAGAUAAGAAACAGUUACAAGCAUUUUUAGGAUUGCUAAAUUAUGCAAGAAAUUUUAUCCCUGAUUUAGGAAGGAAAUAGCAGUAUUACAUAGUAAAACUAGCAAAACGGGACAAAAAUAUUUUAAUAGUGAAGAUAUUAAAUUAGUUCAAAAAAUAAAAGAAGAAAUUACUAAACUUAAGCCAUUAACAUUACCAUUAGAUGAUAGUUACAAGAUAGUCGAAACAGAUGCUUCAUCAUUAGGAUGGGCAGGUAUACUAUACCAGAAAAGGCAUAGGGAGUCUCCAAAGUCUGACGAACAAGUUUGUAGAUAUUCCUCAGGAAAAUUUAGUGAUGUACAGUCAAGGUUACCAUCAACAGAUUUAGAAAUUUUAGGGAUAAUUAAUUCACUUGAAGCAUUUUCUUUAUUUUUACAUAAUGAAGUAUUUACGAUUAGAACAGAUUGUCAAAAUAUAGUUUCUUAUUAUAACAAGAUACAUGCUAAUAAACAGGCAGCCCGAAGAUGGGUUAAUUUUGUUGAUUCAAUUACAGGAAAUGGUUUUAACCAAUUUUUGAACAUAUAAAAGGUAAUGACAAUACAUUAGCUGAUAUCUUAUCAAGAUUAAUUUGUUGAACAGGUAUGGAAUAUCGUGGACCAUCAUCAGCAAAUAGCACAAGGCCCCAAGGCAGAAGAGUUUCUUUCAAUGGCAUGAUGAUGCACCAUCAACCUCCACCAUUCAGUGGAUUUCAAAAUAGCAUGAGCAGACCAGCAUCACCACCAGUACCCACGUUCAACUUUAAUGGCAAUAUUGUUGAAGGAAUCAGAAAUCCAACUCUGAGAUACAGGUCAAGGGUACCGGGGCUUUCUGAUAGGCAGCAGGUUCUCUUAGAUAAUUUCUGGAAUAUCCAAAUUAAGCAGCCAAGCAUGAGGUUAGGUCAUGAAAAAUUAAUUAGAGCCUUGGAAUAAGAGUUUGAUAACUUUAAUUUUAAUUUCCACCAAAACCAGCAGCAUAUUCAUUCUCUUGAGCACAAUCUUCAAGCCAUUUCUAGGGACCAUGAGUCAUUACUUGGUAAGUUUACCAAAAUGAACCAAGAACUCCAAUCUCUUAGAAUGCAACAAAAGGCAAGUGACACCUUGAAAAGAGAAUUAAAAAUAGGUUUAGAAAUUGAUCAACAUAAAGGAAAAAAGGUUAUUGAACCCAUAGAACAAGAGGCUAAUGAACCCAUAGAAGAAAUUAAGAUUGAGCUCUUAGAAGAAGACGUUGAAAUGGAGCAACAUCAAAGUAAUGAUCAACAUCAAGUUCUGAGUGACAAAGAAAAACAAGAAAAAUAUGAAAGUUUUCUUAGGAAUAUAUCUUCAGACUUAAUAUUAGACGAUAUUUUAUUAGAAGAAUUUUCAAAAGCAAAACUAAGAAUAAUGCCAACAGAUAUGCAAAAUGAGAUCCUGAGCAGAGCAUCACAGUCCAUGAAAGAGUUACAAUUACAAUUACAAUGCGCCUUGUAUCAGUCCAUCUUUGAUCCAAAACCAGGAAUGGAUAUUAUUACAAAGAUGUAUCCUCCAUGUCUUUGUGAUAGUACAGAGAAUUGUAUUUGUAAACCAGAAAUUAGCGUAGUUGUGGCCAGGAUUGACAUGAGAGAUUUUAAAUCAUGGCAUUUUAGUUAUGAGCAUCAGAAAAAGCAUAAUGAGGUAGAAGUCACCCCUGCCUUACUAUUAGAGUUUGGUUAUCUCGAUAAAAUAUUUAUUAACCGUAUUUCUCAACUAGAAUAAUUUCCUGAAAAGCUUAUUAAAGUAGCAGAAGACUAUCUAGAAAGGUGGAAAGAAAUUUGCAUAAGUUUUAUUAGUAGUCCUCCAGAUUGGUAUGUACACAUGCAUAAGGAGAAAGCUAGGCAUAUAGCCAUGAUCAAUGAAGAGUCCUUUAGACUAAAUCCUAUCUCCUCACAUAGGUGGACUCCUUCAUACAAAGAUAUUUUAAAAUUUAGAGGGAUCCAAAUGUUUGCUUUAGAUGAGUUUGAAGAUUUUAGGUAUGAUAUGGUACUAGUAGCAGAAGAAGAAGAGAUGUAUAUUUACAGCAAGACAAGAAUUAGUCAUCAGCCUUAUUGGAAGCCCCAAAAUUUCAAAGAAGAAACAUCGGAAAUAUAUUACAAGGUGAAAGAAGAUAGAGAAAGAGAUGCGGAGCUAGUAGAAGGCGAUGAACAAUAUUGGAAUAAUUUGUCAGAAGAAGAGCUGCAUAACAUCGACAACAUGAUGGAAGCCUGAAGAACUAGCUGUAAAUUAGCAUAAGAUGAAUAACAUCAUAAUGUAUUUCUAGACAGAAAUGUUAACAUCGUUGUGGUCCGCAUGUAAUGGCACAAGAGUAAAUAAAGAGAAGAGUUUGAUCUAUUAUAGACUUUUCAUACAUAAAAUGUCCUUAUGGUUAAGAAUGAAUAGUACCAAGCCCUUUUCGUUAAAACUCCCUUAUUUCUUAUGUAUGAGAAUUAAUCUGGUCAUGAUGGAACCCUUUUAAUCAAUGUUUCCAUUCAUUUAUUUAAUCUGAAACCUAAAAAUAAAAUAAAAAGUAUGUAAAGCGUUAAAUUAAUUUCACAUAUGCGUGAAAUUAAUUUCUUUUAACAACAUAUUGAUACAAUACCAAUAGCAGAAAGGAAUUGUUAAUAGUCCUGCGAUUUUGUUCAUUCCAUAUUAGGCGAAAGCUAAUGUUGUUCUAUGCGUAAUAGGAGUUAAGCGGUUGAUUUUUCCUAUAACUUCUUUUGACAUCUUUGCCCUUCGAACUACAUAGUGGUGUGAACUAGUUUUGGUGCCCCCGCCACAGAUGGGGGCAAAAAUUUCGCAUGAGUUCCUUUGUAUUUAGGAAUAUGUAUAAGCCAAUAGCAAUGUAUACCAACUGUUAAGAUUGAAUUUUUCUUGUUUUUCAGAAGGUAGUAUUUGACGGGAAAUACUUAAAGGGUGGUGCUAUUCUUUCACUUGUCACACUAGUCAUUAUUUUUUGCCGUUUGAUCAAAUGAAUUGAAGGUUUGACACGCCCGACCUUGAUAUUCUCCAAAAGACCAGGGUAUGCACAUGCUGGCUGACAUCCGAAGGUGAUGAACCCAUAUUAUGAUGCAUGAGAACUAGAAGGAAAUAACUAACAUAAAUAAAGCUUGUAAAUUUAAUUAUAAUGAAUAUGCAAUUGUGGAACGUGUUCAGAAUAUAUAACUAAUUGGAGACACUAAAAAUGAAUAAUAUAAAAUUGAAUGAACAAAAGGAUGGGUCCUACACCGAGAGGACUUGAAGAUGCCGAUGUGGGAAUGCCCUGACGCCGUGAUUGUACUCCUUGAUUCUAAGUCCUAAGGGGGCGCAAAACAAAACAUGAGUGAACCAAGUUGAUAUAUAAGUAAUAUUAAAACAAUUAAUCUUUAACGUACUAACCCCAAAGUUUAGAAAACUCAUGUAUCAUAAUAAGUAAUAUGUUUUUCCGAAAACCCUAGCAUGCCACAAAACCUUUCAUAAGACAUAUAUCGUAUAUAGGGUGCUUAGUAGUAGUAGUAGCACAAGGCAUAUAUAUACACAUAUAUCUUCAUUCGCCCAAAGGCACUACAUCUCCCGCCCGAAGCCAAUAUAAAUAUCUUCCGGCCGAAGCCACCAACCUCCACCCGACUUAAGCCAUAUAUAAAUAUCAUUUGCUCGUAGGCCUUACAUCACCCGACUGAAGCCAAUUAAUGAUUUCAUUUGCCCGUAGGUAGAUCGUAUGAAUAACCACUAAGUACACACAUAAAAACAUUAACAUAAUAUUUCUAAUAUAUAUAUAUAUAUACACGGAGCUCAGUAGCUAAAACGUCAUAUCGUAAAUCAUGUUCAAAGUAUAUAGUCAUAAAUAAUUUAUACUUCAAAGAAUGUAAAUCCGAUAAAGCAUAAUAUAUCAUAAAGUGUAAAUCUAAUUUACUCAUAAACGUUUCAUAAAACGUAACCAACAAAUCAUGUUUUCAUGUAUGCAUUUUAGAAGGGGUCCACUCACAGAUACUUCGUUGUCAAAGAGCCGUGCAAACUAAAGAAGAUGGAAACGCUAUAAACUAUACUAAAACGGUUGAAUUUGAGCAAACAGAUUCAGGACGUCGAAAACAUAAGGGGGACCUCGAGUACCCCCACUCGCCGCUGCAUGCGUCGAUUUGGGUAUCCGGAAAGUUGGCGGAAAAAGUCAUCGGCACCUCCGUGGACGGCGGCAGAGCAUAGUACCUCCGGUGGAGGCACGUGUGCUCCACGCGCCGGCCAAGGUAGAGGCCCACGCGCAUCCACGUGCAGGCCCACACGCUGACUGGGUUCUGGGUUUGGGUCGGUUCAGUUGGGUUGGGCUGAGAGUUUUGGGCUGUAAGGUUGAGCCUGGGCAAUUGGGUCUGGGCCUAGAUUCUGGGCUGGGUUUAGUGGGUUAUAAAUUAGGAUUUAGGCUUGGUAGCUUGGCCUAAGGAUCUGGGUUAGGCAUGGGGGUUUGGGCUUGCCCUAGUGGGUUAAAACUCUAGGUUGGGUUGGCCGAGUUGGCCGUUUCGAGGAAGAAGAAGGCCGGAGCUAUCCCAGCUUCGUUCAACCCCAAAACCUAACUAAAACCCAUCAUACAAUAUACCAAAUUGAAGCUCAAGGAACAAGGAAGAGAUUCGUACCAAUUUCAAGACUUGAGGUGGCCGAAGUUGGCCGGAAAAUGGUCUAAAACCCACGGGUUCUCGCUGGAAUCUGGGGAAGUCUCCUCGAGUUGGUUUCUCGAUGUUUCAACGUCCACAAUACACAAAAACAAUUAGAAAUGAAAUAUGAGGAUGAAAAGGGGAAGGUUUAGGUUGUUUUUCGUAGCUCACAUACGUCGGAGGUGUUGGAAACUCACCGGGUUUCCUUCGUGAGCAGUGGCAUCUGCCACGGUCGAGGUUCCCAGGUUCCCUAUCCAGGGUUCAUGGUGACGAGGUCUAGGUGGCGGUGAGUUAGGGGCCUCGCCGAGGCUGUAAUGAUCUUCCCAUGGCACCAUCUCGAUGCUUACCAAGGGAGAAGGGAGAGAAGUGAAAGUGAGUUGAGGGGGAGAAGUGAGAGAGGAGAACCUUACAGGGAGAGAAGAGAGAAGAGAUAGAGAGAGCUGUAAGGGAAGAUAGAUGAGGGAUUUGGGCCGGGGGAAAAAAAUAAGGGUGGGCCCCCCUUGGGCACACCAAUUAAGACCAAAAGCAUAAUUUCAAAAAUAAAUAUCCCAAAAGCAACAAAACAAAAUACCUCUCAUACGUGCAAUGAUGAAAUUGCCCUCGUUCCAAAAUCCGUAACUAAAUUUGGGACGGGUUGUUACAAUCUACCCCCGUUAAGAAAAUUUUGUCUUGAAAUUUGAAAUAACGUAUUAUACAUAAAUACUCAAAGAUAGGAAAGAAUAUAUGUAUGAAGAAGAAAUCAAGACAGACAUGACAAACCUUGGGCCCGACAUGACAAAUGGAUGAAAUCGUUGGUAUAGGUCUCCAAUGAGCCUUUCUAAGACACAUGGGAAAAAUACAUGUUGAAGUCCAGUUGAUCGCUCGGCCCAAACCGUUGGAGAAGUGAUUCGGUAAAGGUGGCCCAAAGCCCAGACCCAAUGUGCAACUUGUACCAUUUGAACCAAAGGGCAACAUCGCCAGUGAAAUAGAGCCUUGCGAUUGUGACUCGGUUGGCGUCGUUGACCCCGUGAUAAUCCAUAUAUUCCUUCGCUAGGGCUAGCCAACUGUACGGGUCAUCCCCGGAGAAUCGAGAAAGCUCAAUCUUUAUGUGUUUCGGGCCAUUGAAGGUAAGUGGUGCCUCGGAAAGAAAGACGGCUGUUGUGGAAGGUGAAACGAAGAGGAUGGAAUGUGGGGACGGAGGGUGGUGGUAGAUGUUUGCCACAUCAUUUUCUUUCGCAUGUGAAUCAUUCUUUUCUGAAAAUGUUAGUCUCCCUUUUCUUCUUUUGGAUGUAUCCCACAUGACCCUUACAGAAUACUGACCCAAUCUUGUAUGGAUCUUGAAAGGGCAGGAUCAGCAUUUUCGCAAAAAUUUGUCCUGAUGAUUAAAAAGAAAGUUUUUUGGGGUUUUUGGUUAGUUUUCUAUUUUUAUAUACCUACUUUUUAUUAUUUUUAAUACAACAACAACAACAAAGCCUUUUCCCACUAAGUGGGGUCGGCUAUAUGAAUCCUAGAACGCCAUUGCGCUCGGUUUUGACUUUUUAUUAUUUUUAAUAAUAUAAUAAAAUAUUAAGUAAAGUGAGUAGAGUAAACCCUAUUUAACAGGCAAAGCAAAGAUGGUCUUUACCAAUUUAAAAAUCCGAAUGUGACGGUCAUGCUAUGAUCGGAACCAGUGACAGAUGUCCCGACGCACCUUGAAUCGAGAAUCCAUGGCCUUUAUGACUGGCAUAGAGGGCCAGGCAUGGGCACGUUGCACAUAAAGCUUUGAAAUAUUGCUAACAAGAGCUAAAAUCCUUUUGUAACUGCAAAUUAUUCAAACACUGAAUUUUACAAGGGAAUUGUUAUUAGCACUUCAAAAAUCUCAUUCUACAUUCCUCACAAGUGUAUUUUUCUUUCUAAUUAUAGAAAGUUUGAAGUGCUAAUAAUAAUUCUCUUUUACAAGACGACAUUGUUCUCACCAUGCAAUUAAGUCUUAGAAUACAGAUUCUUUCAAAUAAUACAGGUUCCUUUACAAAUACAACUCAAGAAUAAGCUGGAAUUCGGAGUUUUGACACUGGCUUGACUCAAUCAUGACUUUAACGACUCCUGCAAUCCAGAAAAGAAAACACUUUGCAAUGAAACCCAUUUUACUCGGUCGUCAGAAGAUUAUAAGGUGGUAAGGGAAAACCCAGUCGACGAAGCGAUGCACUACAAAGAAUUGUGUGACAUUUAGAAAGCCAUAGUUGUGGCUAUUUUGGAGUAGCUGAUAAGUCAGUAAUGUGGCUGACUUGCAUUGGCAAAAUUCACCAGACCAAUGUAUAGGGUGGGUCGGAAACUGUGUUUGGGUAAGGAACUUCAAAGUAUGAAGAUAUCGCCAAGUGAUGUUAUUUUAAAUACGAGUAUUAUACAGCUAUUUUUUUGGGCAACCUGCUCACUAAAGUGCAACUAAUCAUGGAUUUGUGAGUGUAAUUUCAAAGUUCACAUCGAACCCUAACUGGCUUGAAAAUUAUAACAGCCAUUGGUAAACACAUACCAGAAAACAACAAAAUUCAAAUGUGAAAUACGAUUUCCAGUUCCACUCAAACUUAUAAUUAUCUAAAUUUCUCAUCAACAAAACAACUUGCUCCCUCUUAAAGAGGGAACAAUAUUCGUUGUCAAAGAACAAAACUAGAAGAUUGCAAGAGAUGGAAGCACUAGGCAAAAGAAACACAAUGUAGGUUGCGAAACAAAGUGAUGCUGGGAAAGGUUGACCACAUCCACUAAAGAACCAGAGAGCAAAGAGACAUUGACAUUCGAUUUAGAACCAGAGCAAGAAGAGGCAUGGAAGAAAGGAAGAUAGAACAUGGGAUUUGCUUCAAUGAAGGAAACAAGACUAUCUGACAAUAAAGAGCAAAAAUACUUUUAUUAAUGUACAUAAAUAAGAGAGAUACCAAAUUAUACAAAAUUCGGGAUCUAUUCUCGCCAGAAAAUCAUAUUAUCUUAGAAAAAAAUUACCGCUUUCAAGUACUACAAGUUUCAAUACAAAUGUUAAUUCGAAACGAAGAGAUUUCCCUAAUUGCUAUACCUCAAAAAAUGACAAAUAAUGUAAGACUCCUGCAAUCCAAACCGGAACCAGAUGCCAUCAAAUACACAAAUCACCAAGAUUGAAAAAUGAAAAUCUUCCCCAACAAAUUCAACCAAGUUGAAAGAACAAGAACAUUUUCCAACGAAACCCAUUUCCUCAAAACUUAGUUCACACAAAACUAUACAGAGAUUUGAGACAAGCGAGUCAACAAAUAAUGUCACUACUCCUACAAUCCAUACCAGAACCAGGACAGAAACUAUCGAAGACAAAAACCACCAAGACUGAAAAAGGAAACAAAUCACACACUGUUUGGGCCCAAAAUAUCGGUUUGGGCCGAGAUGUAUUCUCGGCCCGGAAGGCAGUACAAAAAAGGUUACUGUGGAUCAUUUAGUUCAUGGGCUUCCUAACCUAGGUCGGUCAAGUCAUGCUGCAAGACGAGUAAUUGAAUCCUGGCGCAAUAAGGUGUCUCGGCAAGAUAUGGAUAGAAGUGAAUCCGGUUUGAUAAAGGAUUGGGUUCAAAGUCAUAGUGAAAAUAGGACUGGUCGAGAUGGUGUUUGAUGAGAAGAAGAAAUCCUAAUCCAAGUAGGGUUGUAAAUCGGUCUAGAAAGUGCCUGGUGCUAUAAAUAAAAGAAGUUGUGCAUCGUUCAAGCCUCUCCAAUUCAACACACAACUGCCCUGCGCAAAUUCUCUCAACAACCUUGAGAUUUUUUUCCUUUUCUUUCGCCGACACACCUUCAGUUUGGAUAAACAGCACUGCGAAGGCAACCGGUGAUAUCUUCAGUCGGCAUAGAUAACACUGUCACCGUAGAACCAGCCGGUCUCGCAGCAUCUUCAGUCGGCAUAGAUAGCACUGCGUCGAGGGUGAAUGGUUAUCUAUCCAAGUCUUGGUCGAAAAGGAUUUUCGAAUCCUUAUUGGUCGAGGUCAUCUCAUUAGCCUUUUCGGCGAAGUGAGGUGUUACAGCUUAUUAGGCUCGGCACAUUGCACGCCGAGUUAGUUUAUGAUUGGAUACUCUCAAGUGGGAUUUAGAGUUCGGCAUUCCGACAGCCGAACCACGUUUAUUGUUAAGACACAUAUCUGCUUUGAGUAUUUGUGCCCUUACACUUUGGUGUCGAUUCGGCGUGAGUUUACUCUGACGAAUACCAUCACUGUAACCGAAUUCGACAACGACGAUUUGUGAACUUCGUAAGAAUAAGAACCUUGUCUUCAGGUUCGAGAACCCAAGAGGCUGAGAUGUGUUCCUUCCUCGGUCGCAAUCGCAAGACGUAGAAGUCAGCCGCGAACCCAAUGCAACAUCAACAAAUUUUACUUCUCGGCCGAGCUCGGCCAACGAGUUAGCACGCCCCGCAUUCAACCGAAUGACGUAGUUAGCUCAUAGAUUACUCGGCUUGUGCGCCACGUAGGCUUGGUAGUUUUUAGGGUCAGCAUUUUGGCAUGCCAGGUGGGACCCAGUGCUAAACUACGAAGUUCAUGCCAAUUGAAACACGAUCGGUUAAAAAGAAAACAGCUAUGGGAAAAUCAACAACCGAUUUUCCAAUUCAAAACAUAGGACAAAGUGUAUCACAGACACAAAAUCCCCUUAGUGCCGUGACACUUGAGUUCACAAGCGCGACUCGCUGAGAAAAUGAAGUUGGUUUUGGCGGUCAGCGUUGCAGUCUAGAAAUCCCUAACAAAAACACCUACGUUGUCAAUGAAGGGAUAGUGGAGGAUUGUGAUGAGGAUGGUGGUGAAGGCUUUGAUCCACCAACAAGAUCAUUUCUUCGAAGACGACUUGACAAACAGUCUAGGGCGGUUGAACAAACGUUUAGUCGAGGAAUCGAUAAACUGCACGACGUGAUACGUAGUAACAGUGAGGUACAAAACAGAUUGCUUGAAAUACUGGUUAGCAAGGUCUGUGACGACAGGUCAUUCGAUCUUUCCCGGCACUUGCCACAAAGAAAUAAAUUGUUGCCAGUAGUACAGGCCGAGCCAAUUCCUACUCGGCUCAAGCCAAUUGACUUAGAAAAAAAAAAGAGGAUCGAGAAGCAGGACAGAUGAACCUGACCAGAGAGUGGAAGUAACGUCUGUCGAUAUAAUCGAGGUCCAGCGGAUGAUUGAUUCGGCCAUGAAAAAGGGGCCGAAGUUCCCUAAAUUCAUCCAUCCAUACCCAGCUUACGUGGAACGGUUCGAAUAUCCUAAAGGUUUCAAAAUUCCAGAUUUUAGUCUUUUCGCUGGAGAAUCGUCUUUAUCCUUGUUAGAACAUGUGGCUCGUUUCAUCGCGCAAUGCGGAGAUGUCAACAUUGAUUUUCACAAGCUGCGGCUGUUCAACUUUUCAUUGACAGGUUCAACAUUUGCCUGGUAUAUCAACCUUCCACCUAAUUCCAUCCAAAGUUGGGAGGAAUUGGUUGAGAGAUUUCACGAGCAAUUUUAUCGGCUAGGGAUAGAAAUGUCAGUUUCUUCGUUGGCAAGGAUGGCUCAAACGUCUGAUGAGUCACCAAUAGAUUAUCUUACCAGAUUUAAAUCAGCAAGGAAUUGGUACCGAGUACCUCUCCCUGAAGUCGAGUUUGUUAGACUUGAUUUGAACGGACUCGAUGUAGAAUACAAAAAGAAAUUUUUGGGGGCAAACUUUCGGGAUAUGUAUGAAUUAGCCCAGCAUGUUGAGCAAUAUGACUAUUUGCUCCGAGAAGAGAAGAUGUCGAAACCCCUAUCUCGAGGGACGAUUUACAAAAACCCUACGGUCAAUUACGCGUCGACCGAAGGUGAAGAAUCUCAGUACGUCAGCGUGGACGCGACCGAGAUAGUAAUAGAUAAACCAUACGUGUGCAAGGAAUUGACUCAAAUUAAUUCCAAAUAGGUCAAAACCUGCUCGGCCACUGAAGAAACAGCAAAAACAUCAAAAGUUUAUACCUUUGAUAUCACACAGGCCGAAGCAAUUUUUUAUCAAUUGCUAUUAGCGAAGAUCAUUAAACUUCGGCCAGGGCAUAAUAUUCCCAAGGCCGAAGAACUUAAAGGAAGGACAUAUUGCAAAUACCAUAACUCGACAAAGCAUGCAACAAACAAUUGUGUCAUAUUUCGUGAUGAUAUCCAAAGUUGGAUUGACAAAGGCAAGCUAAAGUUUCUUGAAAAACGCAUGACGGUUGAUACAGAUCCAUUCCCUUCAGCGACAGUCGGCAUGGUAAACGCCCGUUUGCCCAAGAGCAAAGGAAAAGAGAAGGUCGAAUUUACCCCAGUACAACACAUUCGGAAGCAAAGCUCCCAACCUCGACUCAAGAUCGAUCUAUUUUCCAACGCGCCACCUACCGCGCUAUCAGGACCGGCCAUAGUUGAACCAAUGUCAAACUACAACGACGAAGAAAAUGGCGGGCCAAUAGUACCACAGAUCCUAAAGAAAGGUUCCCAACCUCGACUCAAGAUCGACUUGUUUUCUAAUGCACCACCCACCAAACUCUCAAGACCUGCCAUAGUCGGGUCCAUGUCAGACUUCAGCGAAGAUGGAAAUGAUGGGCCGAUAGUUCUGUGUAACAAUUGUAAGGCAUGCGUUGUAUUAACUGAGCCUAAGAGGAAACUGCCUCCGAUGCAAAUGCCGACAUCACAACACCAAUCGGCGAUUACAGCAAAACAUUUAAAGGAACCUAGUGAAGGCCAGCGCCAGAAAGUAUUCGACAGGCUCGGCCCAAGGAAACAGACAAAUGGUCAUCCAUCGGUCAGACGGUGCCUUGAUUUCGACGCACCGUUUUACAACGAGGACUGUUAUUCCCGUAAUUCCAGUAGUUCAAGCUCAUGAGCAAAUCAAAAAACCUUCAGGCCACCUGAACCACGUGACCAAUGUUGGUACAACUACAAUUCUCCCACCGGCAUGUAUACCGCAUUAUCCAAAUCUCAGAAACGUCGACGUCAGCGUAUAGAUUGCUUGGCUUGACGACAAGCUACUCAGCCUGUUUUGGCCACUAAAUGGCAGCCAAAAGAGACAACAAGAAGCGGAGAUGAUCGGCCAACCCCAACAAUCAUGGCUGAAUUACAGGUCGAGAAGGAAACCAAUCGGGAUUUCGAAACUACCAUUGAAGUAGCCGAGAAGCGCAUCAAACUUCUUCUUCGGCCAGGGGAAAUGAAAGCUCGUUUCGAGCAAUUUAGGAAAGAGGCCAAAAGUAAACUGCCCCCGUUACCUUUGAAAGAACCACUAAUCAGAGUUCGACGGAAUCUGCACCCUCCAUUCCUCGGUGAAUCAUUGGAAUAUAUGAAAGAAUUUCACAAGAAAUAUUCCGCCAACGACUUGUAUGGGUUGCCGAAGGCUUGCCAAGAAGCUCUUCACCUGGCAUUAACUUGCCCCGAUGCUGAGUAGAUCAUCUAAAAAACCACUGAUCCAGCAAUGAAAGCUAGAUUCUAGCACAUUCGAGAGGCUAGGGUUCUCGGCUUCGAGGUCGACCCAUACACGGAUAUUGACACAACCGAACUUCUUUUUUCUCUUGAAGACCUUCAACACCUUCGGUAUCACUUCGAAGUUUUUUCGACCGUAUCCUUGUUCGGCUUAACGGUCGAUGAGAUAGAACGGGUGGCACGUCUGGACGCUUACCUGGACACUAGGAAUGCCCGUAUCGCCUAUGAGGAACGAGCUCACAAAAUACGGCAUGAGCAGAGUUCGACACCAGAUGCAUGCAAGCCCGAAGACGAUAGUCAAUAGGAUACAGCGUCGGAUUGCAUGGCACAAGCGCCUAAAUAUGUUGAGACACACAGCGAGCCGGUCGCGAAUGCUCUGACACACAAUGAUAUAGUUCUCACUACUCCGGAAGAUGACGACCAUGAUUCAAUGGGUCUUUCAGUCUUUGAAAACAUGGAAAUCAGCAUGGUCCAUGUUCUCCCUGCCGAAUUUCAGCUAACUACACACCAACCAAGUUCCUUGGACUGUGAUGUAGUCACCGAGGAGGCAACACAAGUUGAUUUCGUCACUACUGCUGAAGACGAGUCAACUAACGGCGACGAUAAACUUAAAACAGCCUUGGACAUCUUGUUUCCCCAUUCUUCCUCGACUAAUCUUCAACAUUUAAAACCAUUGUAUGUCACGGCCCAUAUUGAAGGCUAUCCAAUUUCUGAGAUUUUCGUCAAUUGCAGAGCAACAGUCAAUAUCAUGCCUGUAUCCGUCAUGAAAGCAUUACGACGAUCCACCGACGAGCUCAUUCCUUUAGGAAUAAUCAUGAGUAGCUUUGUCGGUGACAAGUCUCAGACCAAAGGAGUACUCCCUCUAGAGGUAAGCAUCGCAGGUCGCAAUCAUAUGACCGUAUUUUUUAUCGUCGACUCCAAGACCGAAUAUAAUGCUUUGCUCGGUAAGGAUUGGAUUCAUCAAACGAAUUGCAUUCCUUCUUCGUUAUACCAAGUCUUUAUUUUUUGGGAUGGUAAAUCGGUCGUGGUCCACCCAGCCGAUACUCAGCCAUUUGAAACCAAUAUGAUUCAGGCCUGCUAUUAUGAUGAUCACGUCGGCUAUAUUACCCUACAAGGUUUCAAUGAAGAUGGAUGGACGACCGACUCGGAUCUCAGUCCAGAAAGCCAUCGAGGUAGGCGCUGAGACUGUCCACCAGGAUUCGACGAGACUCGGUUUGGCCAAUUUGCUCCCCACCAUUGAUGAUUGACAUCAAAAGCGAGAGGCGUCGGGCCGCGGUUUCAUCUACGAUGGAACGCCUGCUGGCCCAUUGGUAUGCUAUUUCCAAGCACCCGCAUUCGGGCAUCAACUUAAUCGAAUUUUUGGUCGAAGAGGAUAACAGCCAUGUACUAUCGUUGGAUAAAGUUCAGGCCGCACCGGCCGAGCUCGACGACAGCCGACCCCAAGUCAAGGAUCCUCUAGAGGAAAUAAAUGUUGGAACGGCCGAUGAUCCUCGGCCUCUAUUUAUUAGUGCGUUAUUACCCCAUGCCAUGAAAGUGGAACUCCAUCAAUUGCUUCACGAGUUUAAAGAUUGUUUUGCUUGGAGUUAUCAUGAGAUGCCGGGUCUCGACCGGACCCUUAUCGAACAUGAAUUACGUAUCAAACCUGGUUGCAAGCAUGUUCGACAACCUCCUCGUCGAUUCUCGACUGAAGUACAACUCGGCAUAAAAUCCGAACUGCUCGAUACAUCGAGUGGUUGGCGAAUAUCGUACCAGUGCUCAAGAAAAAUUGGGCCCUACGCAUUUGCAUUGAUUUUCAAAAUUUGAAUCUGGCAACACCUAAAUAUGCAUAUCCCAUGCCAAUUUCAGAUUUGCUAAUCGACGCCGCGGCUAAUCAUGACAUGCUGUCAUUCAUGGAUGGACAUGCCGGUUAUAACCAGAUAUUUAUUGCCGAGGCCAAUGUUCAUAAAACUGCUUUCCGCUGCCCGGGGGCACUUGGAACCUACGAGUGGGUAGUCAUGCCAUUUGGUCUAAAAAACGCUGGUGCUACAUAUCAACGCGCGAUGAAUACCAUUUUUCAUGACCUGAUCGGCACUACCAUAGAAGUAUAUAUUGAUGACGUCGUGGUCAAAUCAAAAAGUCGUCGAACGCAUAUUGAUGAUCUUCGGCAAACUUUCCUUCGCAUGCGACGACAUAACCUUAAGAUGAACCCGGCCAAAUGCGCCUUUGGUGUGUCGACCGGUAAUUUCUUAGGUUUUCUUGUCCACCAUCGCUGCAUUGAGGUCGAUGUGAACAAAGCUCGUGCAAUUAUUGACGUCCCACCACCGACGACCAAAGAACAACUCCAGUCCUUGCUCGGGAAAAUAAAUUUUCUUCGCCGAUUCAUAGCUAAUUCUGCUGGCAAAAUGACGGCAUUCUCUACACUGUUGAAACUUAAGGACUCAGACAAGUUUGAGUGGCGUGAAGAACAUUGAGCGGCUUUCACACAACUCAAGGUUACCCUUGCAACUCCCCCCGUCCUCGUACCGCCUCGACGUGAUAAACCCCUUAAGCUUUACAUUUCCGCAGCCGACGAAUCCAUCGAUUGCCUCCUAGCGCAAGAUACUGACGCUGGGCGAGAACAAGCUAUUUUCUAUCUCAGCCGACACCUCAAUCCUCCAGAGAUCAAUUAUUCACCAGUUGAGAAGCUUUGCUUGGCUUUGUUCUUCGCCGCAUCAAAACUCUGACAUUAUAUGCUCUCAUCCGUUAUGCAGGUCAUCGCCCAGACAUAUGUUAUUCGAUAUAUGCUUACUCGGCCAAUAGUCAAAGGCCGAAUCGGGAAAUGGACACUGGCACUAUCGGAGUUUAGUUUGCAGUACGUCCCACAAAAAGUCGUCAAAGGACAAGCGCUUGCUGAUUUCUUAGCCCACCACCCUUCUUCAUAUAGGUUCGGGGGCACCGAAGUUGAAUCGGAAUGGUGGAAGCACGUGACAAUUAUUGGACGAUGUAUUUCGAUGGUUCCAGCACGUCAACAUCAACCGGUAUGGGGAUCGUACUCCAGUAUCCACACCAACACCGUUGGUUCUUUUCCCUCAAGUUGGAUUUCGAUUGCACCAACAAUCAGGCCGAGUACGAAACCCUUGUUAUCGGCCUUAGCGUACUUCAUGAUUUGCACGCUGCUCGGGUCCUCAUCUUUGGCGAUUCGUUGCUUGUGAUUAACCAACUUAAUGGAACUUUUUGGUGCAUAAGUUGUACUCUGGCGCCCUAUCACAUGGUGGCCAGUUACUUGGCCGAGUCAUUCACUUGUAUCACGUUCAAUCAUAUUUCCCGUGGACGGAACACCAUCGCAGAUGAACUCGCUCAGAUAGCCUCCGAAGAACAACUCCUAGGGGCAAGAGUGGACCGAUGAUACCCGUUUUACGGCAACGUGUCCGGCUUUGGUUAAUCAACAAGUCCUUUAGCGGGACCAAGUCAUCCGUACACGGGUAAUGUCCUUACCUUCCUUAUUGGAACGGGAGGAUCCUGUAGAUGUUUGCGCGAUCGAGACGCUACCAAACGACUGGAGAAUGCCAAUUAUGCAAUACCUUGAUGAUCCCAGAGGCAAGCAUGACCGAAAGAUAAGGUUCCACGCCAUAAACUACGUCUCGUACCAGAAUGAGUUGUAUCGAAAAGGCGAGGACGGUUUAUUACUGUUAUGCCUCGGCCCGCAAGAAGAUGUCCAAGCAAUCACAGAGGUACACGAAGGAAUUUGCAGAGCCCAUCAAUCAGGACGCAAGAUGCGUUGGCUACUUCACCGACACGGUUACUUUUGGCCAAGCAUAUUGAAAGAUUGUAUCGAGUAUGCACGAAGAUGCGUCCAGUGUCAAAUUCAUAGACCCAUCCAAAGGGCCCGACCGAAUUACUUCAUUCGGUCACCAAACCUUGGCCGUUCAAAGGAUGGGCAAUGGACGUGAUUGGCAAAAUCACACCAUCUUCUGGAUCAACGAAACAUGCAUGGAUACUCGUGGCAACAGAUUAUUUCUCUAAGUGGGUCGAAGCAAAAUCAUACGCCGAAUUAACAUCCAAGGAGGUUUGCGAUUUUGUGGGGGAACAUAUUGUGACCAGGUUCGGCGUGCCAUAAACAAUCAUAACUGACAAUGGCACAGUCUUCACAGCCAAAAGGUUCAAAGAUUAUACGGCGAGCUUAAAAAUUCGGCUUGAGCAGUCCACACCAUACUAUCCACAAAUGAAUAGACAAGCCGAAGCAAGUAAUAAGGUUUUGAUCGGUAUUCUUGAGAAAAUGAUAAAAGAAAGACUUGGCAUGUGGCAUUUAAAAUUGAAUGAAGCCUUAUGGGCAUACCGAACUUCACCCCGGUCGGCAACGAGGACCACCACAUAUGCGUUAACCUAUGGACAUGACGCAAUGUUACCAAUCGAGCUAAGUGUAAAUUCUUUACGUGUGAUCGAGCAGAGUAGUUUGUCCAACGCCGAAUAUAAUCAGGCCAUGUUAUAAGAGUUAGAAGAUUUGGAAGAAGAUCAGCUUGACGCUUACAAUCUUCUAGUGGCACAAAAGAAAAUUACCGAGCGAGCUUAUAAUCAAAGAGUCAAACAAAAAACGUUCGGCGAAGGAGAGUUAGUUUGGCAAACUGUGUUACCAGUGGGAAUUAAAGACCCCAGGUUCGGCAAAUGGUCGCCGAAUUGGGAAUGACCGUUUGUCAUCCAUAAAGUUCUCAGUAAGGGGGCAUACCAUCUUAGAGAUCGAACCGGUAUUAUUCACAAAUUACCAAUUAAUGGAAAGUUCUUAAAAAAAUACUACCCAGUCACAUGGGAGAUGCAAGAGUAAAAGCUUGUUUCAUUUCAUUAAUAAGAAGGUUUACAAUCAAAUUAUUCUAAGGCGAUGAAGGAAGAAGAGUUCCAAGAAGUGCCUUCAGCUCCAGCCACCUCACCUCGCCCAUUAUGACUUAAGCUCGCCUGUUCUUCUUGUCCAACUUCAGCUGCUUGACUCGCUUCGCAUUCCCCGUAAAUUCGGUUAGACAAGAUUUCCCGCUCGACUCAAAGUCCCUUGCAAGCUCAAAAGCAAGGGCCGACCUUCGUUUUGCCAGUUCGGCCAUUUGACGGUCGAGGUCGGCCAAGGCUUCCUCUUUUGUCUUUAAGGCAUCGAUCUUCGGACGAAGAGUUUCUUGAACGGCCAGUGCAGUUUUCAAGUCAUCAUCAUUCCGAAUAAUGUUCUCGAGAAUACUGAAGGAUUCCCAAACUCACUCCAAGGCGGACAACGCCUGAACGACAGCCUCGGCGCUCAUUUGACCAUCUGCUCCGAGAUCGUUUAGGCAUGCACCCAACGAAUUGAGCCCUUUACGCUCAAGGACUUGUGAUGCCGAGAGAGAUAAAACUUCUUGUAGCCGAACCAGAGCAGCUGAAUCGGCAGGUGUAAUCGUAGCGGCCGAAGGACCAGCCGCUCCAGAAGUGCUUGACAAAAGAGCAUUAAAUUCGACUUCCCAUGAAGGCUGCACACAAAAAUCAUGUUAAGUACAAGGAAAUUAUGAAAGAAUAUAGCAAGAAGGUUUUUGUUUUAAACCUGCCGAGAGGAGACUUCUGUCAUAUCUUCGUGUUCGUUGCUCAAACCUAAAGAACUUAAUGGCCGAGCCCAGUGCCUUAGACUGUUUCUUAGUUUACGCGGUCGAUAGAGGUUAUCUACGUUCGAUGGCCACUGAGGCGGCCAAGAAAUAUAGAUAACACCCUUCGACGCGUAGAAUGUUCAAUGAAAAGAAUGGGUAGGCACCUGACAUUCAGUAUCUUCCUGGUUUAGAGAUCUAAGGUAUAAAAGUAACCAAAGAAAGGUGGCAAGGGUACUUACGAAGGUUAAAGUAGCUUCUUGAGGAGAAAUGUUGAGGUCCUGGUCCUAAGGAUGAACGGGUGUUUCCGCCGUCGCUUCUGGCUCGACGGCAGGUCGUUUGCCACGAUUAACCGCAGAAGGGCCGACUUGGACAACCGCCUCUAAGGCAUGGGGAGACGGAUCGCGUGGUUGAAGGUGACUCGUCAAUGGAAUCUCAUCGCUCCCGUUGCUCUCUUCGGGAAGUUUCUUCUCUGCCGAGGGGACCGCCCCUUCCAAGACAGGCGUAGCAGCUGGCCCCAAGGUUGCAAGCACCUCGACCAGUGGAGCAACGAUUGGUCCAGCGACUUGAGGAACAGGUCGUACAUGAGCUAUUUCUUUAGCCGGAAUUGGCCGUUUCUCUGUCAAAACUUGGACGACAGGGGUAGAAGGGGAAACACUAGGAGUCGUCGCUCCCGUAGUUUGACUGGAGAUAACAUGAAUCUCCCGUUCUCCUUUCCUAUCCAGCUUCUUGACCCGUUUUACGGGGUGAGGGGGGUCGAGGGCCGUCUCGGCCUCUUGACGAGGCCAUUUUCUCAGCAAGGCCUGUGCGGUAGUUUUAGCCCUUUUGGAGAUGGUCGAUUUUUUCCCAGCCGCAGCCGCAACGACCACUUCUACCUUUUUUAGUGACCGACCACCUGAGAAAGCAAAAGCAAAUUAGUAGAGUUCAAAGUUGAAGGAAGAAGGUAGAAAUAGACCGUUACCUUGAGAUUGGGGGGCAGAAGCCUUAUUGGGUCGACCGCCGAAGAUCUUAUUCAGGACGUCUUCGACCGGAGCACCAAAAAAGUUUUGGGUAUACUCUUCCCACCAAUCAUCGAAAGUGUCAGUGCUAAGAGAUUCUGGAACGGUUGGUCGAAAGUGGAAUUUUUGGCACCGUUCUUGAAACUCCUUGGCAUCCUUGCACUCAUUGUCUAAAGAGCCAGAUAGGCGUCCUCGACUCAGCAGGGAACGAGAGGUAAGAAGAGGCACCGGGCAACCCUAAAAAUAACCGAGUUGCCGAGCAGUGAAUUGGGGGUGAUAUACUUCCCAACUUGCUCGGUGCACGUCACACCUAAGAGGAAGGUCGCAGGUAAGCACAAACGACCCCCAGGAUUGACGAAGAUCAGCAUCAUCAUCUGCACUGCAUGCUGAUGUGGGGAGUUUGAUCGACAAAGGAUAUUCUCGACGACAGCAGACCAAGAAUUCAUCGUCGGAAAGGGCAUCAAGGCUGAAGAAGUAUCUGAACACGUCUUCAACUUGGUGAGGAGGUACUGGUCGAGGAGCCACCUGAAGGCCGGGCGCUUCAGUAGGUGAGAAGCUGGUAAGCUCUAGCCGAAGGGUGACAAAAUAAACCUGCAGCCAAUGCUAGAAUACCCAGAGGGGACCAUUCUGGUGUGGGUCGAUCUUGUGAAGGGUCAUCUCGGUCAAACAAUGCAGGAGAUGGGCAAGAAUGGCUGGACUGAGUGCUAGGGUGUGACCGCUAGCUAGGGCUUCGGCCACCGGCAUGUUCUCGACCAAGCAUUUGUUGGACUUGGUACAACAAAUAAAUUUGUUAUACCAGUAGAAGAAGAAGGCUUCGUGUUCCUCCUGUCGUAGGUUCUCAUCCCCUCGGCCGGCAAAGUGAAGAUAGAGAGUGUUGUAGUUGAGGAAGUUUUUAUAAAGUUUCUGAACUUCCUCAUUUGAGGGUUCUUGGCCCUCUUCGCUCAGUGUUUCGAUGGCCCGAUUAUUGAAAAGAGCAUUCAGGUCAAUGGUCGACGGGUACCCGGAGAGGGUAGCGUCAACUAGGAUGCCGAAAGGGGAAGUCCCUAAGAUUGCGGUGAUAUCAAGGAUAGUGGGGCCCAUGGGGCCGAGGGGAAGGAUCAUGGUGUUGGUAGCUGAGCACCAUAGGCUUGAGACUGCCAUAAGAAGCUCCUUAUCCAUGACGAGUUCUAUAGACGAAAGACGAAUGGCAUCGUAAAUGCCAAGAGCUUUCCAUUGCUCGCAGAAGAUCUUUUCCAUCCAAGCAACCCAGGCUGCCUAGGUCGCAGUGGUCGAGGGCCAGGAGCCUUGGGGUUUCGCCAAAUCCCAUCUCGACCAUUCAAACCUUGACAGUAGGGGUGUUAGGCAUUGAUCCUUGAAGAGCUCGGUAAUGGCUGGUGGCACUGCAUCCUUGAAAAGUGGACCAAGGAUUUGGUGGGGGGUGCUCAUAUUGCUAUCAAAGCGCAGAGUCUUAAUUGAGCACUGAUCGAUGAUUGUCCCACAUUUGUCGCAUUCCUUAGAGAGCUUGGAAAUGAAAGAGGCCAUUGGAAAUGGUUUCGAAGGGUUUAUGGGAGAAAGUCAGGGGGUUUCUUUUAAUCUUUGAGCAAGAGAGAGUUUGGAAAAUUUGAAAGCGUAAAGAAUGAAUGAUAGAAGGCCAGGUAUUUAUAGACUCCUGGAAUGGAAGACCAAACGGGGAUAGUGAUCGGGAAGAUCGCUAAUAAUGAUGGAGUGAUGGAGAAUAUUAACAGACUCAAGAGAAAGAACCAAAAAAUUCGCAGAUUAAGGGGUCAUGAUGAUAUCGUGACGGCGUCCUUUUAUGAAGAAAUGACGUUUUAGUGUUCGCAUGAUCUCGAGGGUAUCGAAAGAUUCGCAAAUCGAGAUUGCAUGAUGACAUGCGGCGAUAUGUAUAUUGAUUUGAAGACGUUUGGACAUUCGCAUGUCUUGAGGAAUUCAAAAAUCUCGCGGAUCAAAGGGGUAAUGAUGAAAGGACACUUCAGGUUAUGCUGAGAAGAGGACACUUGACGAGAUAUCUGACGAGAUCAAGAUCAUGCAAUCGUGCUUCAUAAAUGCUCAUCGGGAGACGAGGCCUGGUGUCGCUUUUUCAAGGUCAGGGCUUGGCCAGAGACUUCAGACCGAAAAAGUCCUUAGAAGCGAUGGGGCAAUGUUUGGGCCCAAAAUAUCGGUUUGGGCCGAGAUGUAUUCUCGGCCCGGAAGGCCGUACAAAAUAGGUUACUGUGGAUCAUUUAGUUCAUGGGCUUCUAACUUAGGUCGGUCAAGUCAUGCUGCGAGACGAGUAAUUGAAUCUUGGGGUAAUAAGGAGUCUCGACAAGAUAUGGACAGAAGUGAAUCCGGUUUGAUAAAGGACUGGGUUUAAAGUCAUAGUGAAAAUAGGACUGGUCGAGAUGGUGUUUGAUGAGAAGAAGAAAUCCUAAUCCGAGUAGGGUUGUAACUCGGUCUAGAAAGUGUCUGGUGCUAUAAAUAAAAGAGGUUGUGCAUCGUUCAAGCCUCUCUAAUUCAACACACAACUGCCCUGCGCAAAUUCUCUCAACAACCUUGAGAUUUUUUUCCUUUUCUUUCGCUGACACACCUUCAGUUUGGAUAAACAGCACUGUGAAGGCAACCGGUGAUAUCUUUAGUCGGCAUAGCUAGCACUGCGUCGAGGGUGACUGGUUAUCUAUCCAAGUCUUGGUCGAAAAGGAUUUCUGAAUCCUUAUUGGUCGAGGUCAUCUUAUUAGCCUUCUCGGCGAAGUAAGGUGUUACAGUUUAUUAGGCUCGGCACAUUGCACGCCGAGUUAGUUUAUGAUUGGAUACUCUCAAUUGGGAUUUAGAGUUCGGCAUUCCGAUGGCCGAACCACGUUUAUUGUUAAGACACAUAUCUGCUAGGAGUAUUUGUGCCCUUACACUUUGGUGUCGAUUCGGCGUGAGUUUACUCUGACGAAUACCAUCACUGUAACCGAAUCCGACAACGACGAUUUGUGAACUUCGUAAGAAUAGUAACCUUGUCUUCAGGUUUGAGAACCCAAGAGGUCGAGAUGUGUUCCUUCCUCGGUCGUAAUCGCAAGACGCAGAAGUCAGCCGCGCACCCAACGCAACAUCAACAAAUUUUACUCCUCGACCGACGAGUUGGCACGCCCCGCAUUCAACCGAAUGAUGUAGUUAGCUCAUAGAUUACUCGGCCUACGCGCCACGUAGGCUUGGUAGUUUUUAGGGUCAACACACACACACAAAGACAAGACCAAAGAACAAAACCAGAAAACCUUAAACUUUCUAAGCACAGACCAGAAAAACAAAAUUAAAGAACAAAACCAGAAAACAACAACAAAAUACAAAUAUGCUCAGUUAUACGAUAAAACUCAUAAUCACUAUGCAAAAAGUCCUAAAUUUUCUAAGCAAAGUGCAAUCAAAACACAUAAUCAAAGUAGAAAACCAAAACACGAAACAGAAACACAGAACCAAAGCACAAUAUCAAAACUUGUUAAGCACAGAUUAUUAGAAAACGAAAGAGAGAUGUACCGAUACACAAAUGUUGCUUAAUUUCCUCUAACACAGGCGAAUAACCUAACAACCAAACACAUACAAUUUAGUUCAUGAAUCGAUAUUAUCGCAUAUAGAUAGUUAAGUAGAAGCUCUCAAAAAGUUAAAUUAAUUUUUACCUCAAGCGAUGGAGAUCGGGGAUCACUACUGGGUCAUCCCUCAGUUCCUCACCCACUAGCCGGAAUAUGACCUUCCCGUUCUCAGCAAAAUAGUUUGCCUGAAAGAUCAUUCUCGCCGUUUCACCGCCGGGAAGCACGGCGGUGACAUGAAUGCUCCGAUGAAGACGAGUACGUAAGCUUCGGUUUAUGAACUUGCUGCCCUUGAUCUCUCUGCUCUCCCUAGUUCCGAGCCUAAUAAUCAAUCUGCCCCGCCUUUCAUCGCCAUCCACCUCCAUUAUCUCAAGAACCACACCCGGACUCGUCGCGUUCACGAGCUCCACCGAUCGACAGAGAACGCCACCCAUUGAAAAGUCGAUUUUCCCCACCCAAACCACCGGAAGCCACUGCCAAAAGGAUCUCCAUGUCGCGCGCUCACUUUUAUAGGGUUUCCUCCCCACGCGUUUCCUUUUUUUUUUUGGCGGGGGACGUUGGUGGCUGCAAUGUUUUGGCUUCUAGAUGCUGCCUGCUGCUCGAGUGUCGUGGAUUCAAGAAUCUAACUAAAAGUCGCAGAUCCCACGAAGAACAAACUUAUUCCCUUUCCCAGAGAAUCUGAAACUAGUAUUGUUUGUCCGAAAUACCCCUCACUUUAUUGAUAAUUCCAAAUGGAAAAAACGGUUCUUUCUUAUAUAUGAGAAUUAGGUCUGGUUUAGUACUGAGGUGAUUCUGAAAAAAAUAGGUAUAAAAAAAAGCUGGGAGUUUUUUUGUGUUUGGUAAACAUUCAACUUCAACUUUUUUUUCACAGUUUUGGGUGAAAAAGGCCAAAAACAUAAAGCUGCAAAACCCAGCUUUGAAAAACCGGUUUUUUUUCACAUCUGUUUGACAUAAAAGUUAACCAAACACUAUAAUACUGUUUUUUUUUUCAAAAGCACUAUUACAAAAGUUUACCAAACACUCUGCUACUUUAUUUCACAGUUGCUUAUUCUCACAGCACAACAAAAUUAGCUUUUUUUUUAAGCACAACAAUACCAAACCAGUCAUUAAUCUGGUCAUGAUAGAUAGAACCCUUUUAAUCAAAGAAAAACUAAUGAAAAUGGCUUGAAAACUUUGAGUUUUAACGAUAAGGACAAAAUAAAAGGUAAAGUGAAUAGUACUAGGUUUGACUUUUUUGUGUAAAAAUGUGGUUUUUCGUUAAAGUGAACUGUACCGCGGACUUUUCGUUAAAACUCCUUUUAAUCAAUGUUUCCAUUAAUUUAUUUAGGGGUGUGCUAUCCACACACCUUAUUUUACUUCUCACACGCCCUUUGAUAAUUUAUGUCCGUUGAUAUUCUUCAAUACAUCUGAUCUGAUAGCCGAAAAUUAAAAAGAUGUGUGAGAAGUAAAAUAGGAUGUGUGGAUAUCACACCCCUUUAUUUAAUCUGAAAGCUAAAGAUAAAAAAAAAGUAUGUAAAGCGUUAAUUAAUUUCACAUAUGCGUGAAAUUAAUUUCUUUUAACAACAUAUUGAUACAAUACCGAUAGCAGAAAGAAACUGUUAAUAGUCCUGCGAUUUUGUUCAUUCCAUAAUAGGCGAAAGCUAAUAUUGUUCUAUGCGUAAUAGGAGUUAAGCCGUUGAUAUUUCCUAUAACUUCUUUUGACAUCUUUGCCCCUUGAACUACAUAGUGGUGUGAACUAGUUUUGGUGCCCCUGCCACAGAUAGGGGCAAAAAUUUCGCCUGAGUUCCUUUGUAUUCAAGAAUAUGUAAAAGCCAAUAGCAAUGUAUACCAACCAUUAAGAUUGAAUUUUUCUUGUUUUUCAGAAGGUAGUAUCUAACGGGAAAUACUGAAAUGGUUGUGCUAUUCUUUCACUUGUCAUACCAGUCACAAUUUUUGACCUUUUGAUCAAAUGAAUUGAGAGUUAAUGAACACAAAUUGAUCAAAGUGUGUGAAAAGUAAAAAUACGAUAUUGAAAUCACUUGAUUAUGAGAUAGAAAGAGGAUCUAGCAGUUUUUAUAGUUUAUUUGAAAUGAUUGAAAAUUGUCUUUUCAAGAGAUGAGUCAAAGAGUUCCAAGGAAUUUUUUUAUUUACCUACUUUUUAUUAUUUUAAUAAUAUAAUAAUAUUAAUAUAUUAAGUAAAGUGAGUAGAGUAAACCUUUUUUAAGAGAGAAAUAUAGUCUUUACAGGACAAGGAUCCUCUUUGAAUUCUAUUUGUCGGAAUAUAGGAAUCAAUCAAUUGUGUCUAUUUAUUGUACAUUGUGUAACCAUUUUUUAUUAAGUAUUAUUUAUAUUCAAUUUUAAAUUUUAAAUUUUAAAUUUAAAAUGAUUUGUAACUGCAUGAUGUACGAUAAACAGACACGAUUGAUUGAUUAUCUGGAUCCCCACAAAGAAGAUCUUGAGAAGAUCAUAUUCUGUCUUUACGAAUUUAAAAAUCAUAGACUUUUUCCUCAUUGAUUGCCUUAGCCCUUGGAAAGUCCGAAUGUAAAAGAAAGAUAAAAUAGAGAAUGUGAGAGGAGGGGAGAAAAGGAGAUCAAAAGAGGAGUGGAGAUAAUUCUAAUCCCACAAAUUAUCAUGUGGUGAAGUGUUAUUAAACAAGUGCACUUUUUGAAGAGAUUUUUCUUUGUACAUCAAUCUGUACACUAUUUGUCAUACACAAGUAGAGAAAACGGUAUUUUUUUUCAUUCUCUUCACUUUUAUUAUAAUACUUGUUGUGUCAGCUCGUGUUUUGAGAAUGCUAAAAAGAGGUGAUAUUCACACACUUCAAAUUAUUUUUACUACACUUUUUUUUAUGUGUUUUGAGAAUACUAAAAGGAGGUGAUAGUCACACACUUCAAAUUAUUUUUACCACACUUUUUUAUUUUAUUUUUAGUAUUCUACUCAUCACUAACACUUGAUAAAAAAUAUUAAAAUUUUAAAAUAGUGAGAAAAGUAAUUGGAGGUGUGAAUAUAAUCUUUCUAGUAAAAAAAAUCUCUCUGCUUAUUUAUUGGAGCUGCCUCUUGAGAUCUAGCUAGGAUCUCAGGCAACUCGGUUUUAAGUCUCGAAAAUACUAUUGGUACCUCUCCACAAGCUUGAAGAAAAUGAUACCGUAAACACGAAAAUUCUGCGACAAAUGAGACAAGAACAUAUGUACAAAGUAAAUGUUUGUAUUAAUGAAUUUGUAGGGUUACAAUCUCUUUAUGACUUGAUCCUCUGAUUCGAUCUCCGAAAUGUGUACAUGUGUAGUGUUGUUGAUCCAAGGGUCACGAUGACCUGAUCUUGAAUGAAUGAAUCCCUUAAGGUUUUGGCUCUUGGCAAUGGAGGAACCGGCACAUGUAGGGGUGUUUGGUGGUUCUUCAUGGGAUUUGAUGAAGAACAUGAAGGAUUUUCCGAGUCUUCUUGAGUGUUUGAGUGUUUUGGAGGGGGGGUUGAAUGCUUGAGAGCUUCAGAAUUUCAAAGCUUCAACGUCUGGGUGUGAAAUGAUUUUUGGACUUUCUUUUCCGUCUUGGAGCCUCUUAUUUAUAAACUUUCCAAGCCUUGACUACGAAUGGAUUUUACCUUGAUUGUGGGCUUGAUUAAUUGACGAAAGAACCAAGACUUCAUUUGUAGGCCGGUUCGUGAUUUGACUUCAUCAAUUAACAUUUGAUUUUAUUAAAUUAAAAUCAAUUAAUUCAUUUCCGCCAAGUGUUGACACGUGUCAUUCUUGAUGACUCGUCCAAUUUUGUUGAGUCACACGCCAUGUGUACAAUUUGUGCAACACGUGGCGCAUGUCACAUAUGCUCUGGAAUGUCGAAACUUUAAUGCGUUGGUGAACAUUUAUUUCACCGAAAUUUCGAUGUCUACAAAUGCCCCACUUCAAGGUGCAUCAUAUGCAUGUGCUUGUCACGUGUAAAAGAUGUGUUUUGAAGUCCCUCGCAUAGUGAAUGUAUUUGGCCACUGUGUUUUGAAGUCUUUCAACGUAGAUGUCAAGUCAAUGGCCGUUAAGACUUGAUCUUGAAUUGGGCUGGAAAUUUCUUCAAGGGCCGUUAAUGCAUGUGCUUGUCACGUGUAGAAAAUGUGUUUUGAAGUCCCUCGCUUAAUGAAUGUAUUUGACCACUAUGCUUUAAAAUCCCUGAAUGUAGAUUUUGAUUCAAGGGCUGUCAAGGCUUGAUCUUGAAUUUGGCUGAAAGUUUCUUCAAGGGUUGUAGAUGAUUGGUCUUGAAUUGGGCUGAAAGUUUCUUCAAGGGCUGCCGAUGCUUGAUCUUGAAUAAAAUUAGACCACAAGGAGCUUCACGUGGUGAGUGGUCUUCAGCUUUGUUGGGGUUGAGUCGGCACAUGUAGUUGUGCUUGUUGAUUCUCCGCGAGCUUGGUGAAGAACAUGAGUGUUUUCUUUAGCCAGAGAGCUUUCUGGUUUCCUCCAAAGGUUUGGCUUUACUUUAUUUCUUUGGAGUCGAAUUUGAUCCAAGUUUGGUGGAUACCUGAUCUAGAAUCGAACUUGUGAUUUCUUCAAGGGUCUUUGAGGCUUGAUCUUGAAUGAGAUGAGACCACGAGCGGUUUCAUGUGGUGGGUGGUCUUUGGCUUUGGUAGUUGAUGAAUCGGCACGUAUUUGUUGUGCUUAUUGAUUCUCCACGACCUUGAUGAAGAACACGAUUGUUUGGGUGUUUGAUAGAUUUUUGGAUGUCCGAGCUUCGACUUGCUUCAUUUUUGCUCUCCGAAUAAGUGCUUAAUAUUUAUAGGCAAAUAAUUUGGCUCGAUUUGAAAAACUCAAUCUGAGCAUUAGGAUCGCCACGCUACUUUGCGCCAUCCUACACACACAUAAGGGAGUGUGCUCGUUGCAAGGAAGUGUGAUCGUUGCAAGGAAGGCUGCUCGUUGCAAGGGAAUCUGCUUGCUACAAAGAAGCUUGUCGUAAAGAAGUGUGUUCACCGCAAGGGAGGCUUCUCGCAACAAGGGAGUGUGCUCGUCACAAGGAAGUGUGAUCGCUGAAGGGAGUGUGCUAGCCGUAAGGGAGGCUUCUCAUCGCAAGAGAGUCGAUGAAAUGCAUGUACUGCUACUGCUGCAAGCGAGUCGCCCGACUACAUGCACUGUUGUUACCUAUGAAGACGAUGACACACUGUAACAAACUGUCCCUAAUUUUACGAUUUUAUAAAUUUUAAAAGUGUGAGUUGACCAAAAUGCCCUUAGAAGAUAGAUUGUUGACUUUCUUUGACCGUCUCUUCGUGACGCGUACGAACUAUUAUUUUACUGUAUUCUCGAAGUACUCUACGGUACGAACGCAUAGGCGCAAGCAAAACUGAAUUUGGAGUUACAAAGAAGAUUUUACAAAUUACGGAAUGUGAUGGUCGUUUUGGUAAAUUCACGUUUACGGGAGAUUAUUUGAUUUUGUUUUUUUUUUGGCCUUGGGUUGUGUACCACAUGGGCCCACGCCCUAUUCCUUCCAUCUCAUUCGUGCUUCCCUCCAUGUGUCUUCUUCUCUGUCUUCUUUUCUUUUCCCUCACUUUCUCUUCUUUUCUCGAACACUCUCUUUUAACUCUCCCUCCCAAACUCUCUUUUAUCUAUGAACCACAAGGAAGCUAGGAUGAAACCACACCAUCACAAAUGCUCAUCCUCCUUUAAUACUUCUUCUUCCUUCAAUACUUCUCCCUCGGUUUCACUGAUGUCACCGACAAACCAUCACCACUGCAGCCACCUGACCUCACCAUCUCGACGAGAUUAUAACUUCCAUAACCUGAUCAUCACCACUCAGUUUGUGUGACUAGAGAUGAGAGGUAAAGCCUUGAGCUUGUUCACCUCUCUUUCGUCUCUUUCAUCUGCAAAUAUGGCCAAACCACUUCGGUACCAUAUUUUCCAGUGAGAAUCUCACCUUUACGGUGAAAGUAAGGCUUCAACGACCCUAAAUGAUUCCCUUAUAAUGUUUUGAAUGAGAUUUAAGUUCAUAUGAGUGAUUUUGUAGAGUUGUUGCAGGAAAACACAUUGGGGAAAGACUUCCCCAAAUUUUUGGAAUUUUUUUUUUGAAACCGUGGCCAUCCGACCAUUUUCAGACCAAAUUCCAGGCCAACACCAACCACAAUUGGGCUUCCAAUAGGUAUAGAUCGAUUCCCUACAUUUCUGGCUUCAAGUUGGUUUUUGUAUCAUCGAAUUUGGUUAAGAAUCGAGCUCGAAAUGAGCUCUGAAAGUCGAGGGAAAUAUCUGCAAAAAUCUAGAAAUCGUGGUGACGGCGCGUGGAUGCGUGUGGUGGCCGAGCCACCUUAUGGCGACUUGUGGCGGCACGUGCGGCGACACGUGGAUAAACUCGAUGUCCAUCUUUAGGUUUCUCAACGUGCCAAAUCCGAAUUCGCCGUCCGUUUUCUGAAAUUUGACAGUUUUAAAUUAGUUCCUUUAUUAGCCGUACUUUGUACGAAAACACGUAAUUAUGUUAGUACAUUAUAUUUACGUAAAUGGUUUCGUUUUUCGGUGAAACGCAUCGCAAAGAUCUUUGAUGCCCACGAGGUGGGUUCGACUCGACGACAUGAUUUGUGAGUGGGUCUUUUCUUUGAUAUAUACAUAUAUUUUCUUAGUUUCCAUAUAUACAUCUAAUAAUGAAUUUUCUAUAUGACUGACUUAAUCAAAUUUACGGCUAUGAAUAAUAUCAUGUUGACUAGAAUUAUCGGAUCACUACGGCAUUACUAUAUUUAUGUUAUUUGCUCAUCAUUUGCUGCAUUGGUGUUAGUAUUCGCCUGGGCCUAGGCCAGUCUUUCACGUGUAUGUGUACAUCACAUCGUAUGCUCACCUUGGAUCAAUUUUAGGUGCCAGUCCUAUCUUAGAUUGCUAUAAGCAAUUAGGAUUAGUAUGUUCUGCGCAUAGCGCCAGUAUUCACGUCAUUGUAGUACUAUAUCGUAUAUCAUUGUUACACCCAAUCAUGUUCAUGUCAGAAUAUCUCUGCACGAACUCGUGUGUCAGCAUGUGUCGAUAAGUACUCGAUAUGAUAUGUUUGCUUAUGCGAGAUUAUGUGAUUAUAGACUUCAUGUGUUCAUUUACGAAAUAUUGUGCCGUAUUCAAUUCUUAAGAUAUUGCAUGCUAUGAUAAGUUUUGUUUUACUAUACAUAGUAUGUAUAUUUUGGAAACUAUACUUGUUUUACGGCGAGAGGUUAUUAUGUUUUCGAAAAGAUUUUUACAAAGCUUUACUUUUAGGUCCACUCACCCUUGUUUUUCGCCCUUCCAGGUUUUAGUGGUGAGCUUUUGUGUUGACGAGGAUUCUUGGCAAAUCUUGGUAUGGGUGGUUACUUUCGAUGGUAUAAUUCUCAUCCUCCUUUAUUGUACUUUACUUAUGCUCUAACAUCACGUGUGAAAUGGGUUUGUUCCCGUUCACAAGCGCACUCUUAUAUUUAGGCAUUUUUAGGUUUAAAUUUAUUCACUUUGUCCAUAUCAUUACACUUUAUGGCUUCAUCACCCUCCUAGUGUUAGCCAGCACAGCUCGAUUCGGAGUCUAGGUGAAUAUUCCAGGUCGGGGUGUGUCACACACUGCUGUUUGUGAAAACUAGCCACUAUGACGACAAGCUGUGAUGCUACUAUGAUGACAAACUUUGAUGCCACUGUGAGGAAAAGGACAUACUGCUACCUGAGAGGACAAAGACAUGUCAUUGUUGGUUGCCACUGCUACAUGUGCCGUUUAUGGGACUACGUUGCCUCUGAUGCACAUUGCGCUUGCACCGCAUUCCAAACUCUCUGUUCCACAUUACUUUUGCUGCUUGCUCAUCCUUGGAAGACACCGAUGUAUUGAACAUACUGGAAGACUUGCUUAAGAUUCAGCAGAACAAUUUUAAGGACUUAGUUUAAGAGUGAUGCCUCGAUUUUGCCUCUUUGUCUCCAAGGUUGGAGACUUUAUUUUUCAUUUUAAUGUGACUGAACUCAACUUUCAUUUUCGAGCUACCUACGUACCCUUUCCGAAAAAGAGAUCAAGUCAUCACGAAGUUCAAAUAUGUUUGUUUUUUUUUUUUUUGUCUUUUUUUUUUGUCCUAACUUUUGCAUGAGCCACCCUUUCGGCGUUUUAACUCAACAAACUUUUUUCUUGGGUGUCGUACGCAGUUUAUGCUCUUGCGGGCUAGAAACAUUUCUUGUUCUCAAGCGUAACAUUGCUUCAAACGUGGCAAAGCAUUCUUGAAGUCGUUAACGGUUGCUUACCCCCAGUUCUCGGGUGGUGGAACUUCUUUAACAUCUUCUCCCGACCUAUUCGACUGCGACAUGGUAAAAGGCUCGUUGGCUCAAAUAUUGACCAAUAUGUAUGAUUGUGCGUCAUUUCACCUUGAGCUGACCAUCCAAACUCACGUCUAAUGUUGAACAACGUUUCAAGCGUGAAAUGAUUAGAUUGCAAAUUCCAUCAUCUUUGGCUAGGUCAACGAGUCAUUUUCCUUCCGAUAUCACUUAUUUUUCCCCAUAAGGCUCAUUUACAACUUUGAGUCUCUCCAAAGCUGACCUUCAUGAGGGAGAACUAGUUGCGUUUUCAUGUCCAGCAAAAUUGGUCAACCUGUUAAACACAGAACCUCGAGAGGCAGGUGCACCGAGUCGAUUGAAGACGGAAGUCCAGGCUUGACCAUCGAUAUGAUCAAACACAGAAGUUCGCGACUUUUGAACCUUAUACUCUUUCUUGUGCACUGAUUGUGUCACCUUUAUGGCUGCUAUGGGGCGGGUUUUCUCAGUGUUGCAGUGAGAACUUGCCUUUUGUCUCUCAUUCCUUGCUCGAGCAACUUGUGGUUGCGGCUUACGCACCUUCCUUAGGGUCAUCAACGACCGUCCUUCAUUGUCAUUGACUGAAGGACCGUCGAUGAGGUUAACGUCGUUGAGAUAACUUCCUCUGUCAAUGGUGUUUGUUUUGUCUGCAUUAACCACUUUAGGCUUUACCCUUGCUGACUGCGGCCAUAACAUGAUUGGCGAUGCAUGGAAAACCAUAUGAUCAAGGGGUUCAAGUACGACACUUGUCGUAUUUGCCGUUGCCGUUUCUUCAAAGCACUUUCCUUCUUGGGUGAGCUUCAUGAUUAAUUCCUUAAGAACAAAGCACUUUCUCAUCGGAUGACUAACGACGCAAUGGUACUUGCAAUACUUUGGAUCGUUUAUGCGAUUCAUUUCUUCUGGCUGCUUGUACUCGGGUAACUUAAUCACCUUCUUGUCGAGCAAAUCCUCCAACAUGGCAGCCACAUUGGUGUCGAAGAAUGGGUAAGUUUUCUCUUCAAACUCCUUCAAAGUGCAUUUGUACCUUUACUGAUAAUGAAAAGUUUCUUUCCGCUUCACCUCUUCCUUUUUGUCUCUUGUGGAGAUUAUGACUAGAGCUUGUUAACCAUCAUUGCUUCCUUGGCAGGCUCCUUCACAGACUUGUCCAUUUUAUGCCCAAAGAAUUUGUCUUUCUUAUACUCGGUGAUCGGCUUUUUCUUUCCAUGAUUGGCGAUGCUUGACUCCAUGUCAUGGGCGUGGGUAACUAACUUUUCAAAGGUCCAGGGCUUAAUGCCUUGGAAAAUGUAGUGUAAUCCCCAAUGCAUGCCUUGUAUGCACAUCUCAAUCGAGGAGAUCUCCGAGAGUGUCUUUGCAGUCGAGACUCAAUGAGUGUCAUCGGUUGAUAUAGUUGACAACUGGCUCGUCCUUCCAUUGCUUUGUAUUUGUAAGCUCUAUCAUGUUGACGGUGCGAUAUGUGCUGUAAAAACAGUUCAAGAAUUCUUGCUCCAUCUGCUCCCAAUUGUUUAUGGACUUAGGUUCUAGGUCUGUGUACUAAUCGAACGCGUUUCCCUUCAAAGAAUGGACAAAUUACUUUACGAAGUAGUCUCUCUCCGUCCUAGUGUUGUUGCAAGUUUCGACGAAAUGAGCGAUGUGUUGCUUUGGGUCCCUUUCUGUCAAACUGCAUGAAUUUUGGUGGUUGGUACCCCAUCGGCAUCCGUAAGCUAUCAAUCAUCUUGGUGUAUGGCUUGGAGUACAUCACUGCAUCCCUCGAAGUGCCUCUAUAUUGUGCCUUGAUGGUGUUUGUGAUCAUGUCUUGAAGUUGUUGAAUGGAAAGAGAGCCCAUUGAUGUAGCUUCGAACUCUAGCUUUUGUUUCCCUCCAACUUUGUCAAUAUGAUGCGCUUCUUCCUCGCCAGACUCCUCGUCAUGCUGAUUCUUCUUUGGGAUAGGUUGGCUUCUCUAUCAUGCUGCGAUUCCAACCUACUCAUGAGCAUAGCGAUCUGCAUGUCUUUCUCCUUAACGGUCUUUGUCAGCUUUGCGAUCGACUCAUUCAUCUAUGCAAGUUGCUCCUCAAUGGAGGUGGUGCUGGUAGUUAUAACUUGCGCAACCAAAGAAUAUGACUCUCUUGCAGACAUCGAGGGUGCUGACGAAGUCUCCGUGCCAUGGUUACUGGUUGGUGAUCUGCGGUAAGAUCCUGCGCUUAAGUCUGUGUCUGAGCCUAGUGAUAAGAAGCGCUCCCUCGAGUCCUUCGAAGACAAAGAAUCUCGCUUGUCGCUUUGGGAUGUCAUCUUGCAUGCCACAUCAGCAUGCUUUAGUGCCCUCAGCGAGGCUAGGUUGAUGACGGACGCGCGCCUCUGUUGCUCUCCUUGCUCCCUCAAUGACAUUAGCUUAGAAGGGGUGCGUUGCAAUGUGGUUACUGCCUUUGCCUUGCUUUGAGUUGUGACGUUGACAGAUUCUCCACUUGCAGUUGAGGCGCUCAAAUUCUUUGCCUUGGUGACGAUGAUGGCUUGACUCUUCUUGGAAGCCAUCGAUUUCGAAGUGUGUUUGGAUUUCUUAAAUAAAGAAAGAUAUGAGAUGCAGAGAUUAUCCCACUGGGUGUGCCAAAUUUGUAAACUUGAAAAUCCUAUGACAAAUGAGACAAGAACACAUGUACAAAGUAAAUGUUUGUAUUAAUGAAUUUGUAGGGUUACAAUCUCUUUACAACUUGAUCAUCUGAUUCGAUCUUCGAAAUGUGUAGAUGUGUAGUGUUGUUGAUCCAAGGGUCGCGAUGACUUGAUCUUGGAUGAACGAAUGCCGCAAGGUUUUAGCUCUUGGCAAUGGAGGAACCGACACAUGUAGGGGUGUUUGGUGAUUCUUCAAGGGAUUUGACGAAGAACACGAAGGAUUUUCCGAGUCUUCUCGAGUGUUUGAGUGUUUGGGGGGGGGGGGAGGGGGUUUGAGUGCUUGAAAGCUUCAGAAUUUCAAAGAUUCAGCGUCUGGGCGUGAAAUGAUUUAUGGACCAUUUUCUUUGUCUUGGAGCCUCCUAUUUAUAGACUUUCCAAGCCUUGGCUACGGAUGGAUUUGGCCUUGAUUGUGGGCUUGAUUAAUUGACAAAAGAACCAAGGCUUGAUUUGUGGGCCGGUUCGUGAUAUGACUCUAUCAAUUAACAUUUGAUUUAAUUAAAUUAAAAUAAAAAAAUUCCUUUCCGCCGAGUGUUAACAUGUGUCAUUCUUGAUGACUCGUCCGAUUUUCUUGAGUCACACGCCAUGUGUACAAUUUGUGCAACACGUGGCAUGUGCUACGUAUGCUCUGGCUUGUCAGAACUUUUAUGCGUUGAUGAAUAUUUAUUUCAUCGAAAUUUCGAUGUCUACAAAUACACAGAUUUUAGGCCAAAUAUUGACUAUAAAAACAGUGACGAUCAUGCUGUGAUCAGAAUCGGUGACAGUCCUAAAUAGAUGUCUCGACGCACCGUGAAUCUCAUGGCAUUUGUGAUUGGCAUAGAGGGCCAGACAUGGGUAUGUUGCACAUAAAGCUUUGACUCAUUGCUAACAAUUGCAAAUAACCUUAGUAGAGUCAAGGUCAACCACCAACGAGAGAAAAGACUCAGAGAGAGUAGAAACAAGUAGCUAGACACCAGUUGAUAGUCUUAUACCACGCAACAUAUUAAGGACUAGGCUUGGUAGGAGUAUCAUCAACAAUAAGAAGGUUAGUGUCGGACGCAGUGAAUGAGCUAUCAGCAUGAGAGAAAAGAUCAUGAUUAAUAAAAAAAGGAACACAUUUGACACGUCUAAUUGAGAAAAUUGGUUUCCGUAAGCUUGAAGAAGUGAGGCUGCAGCACACUAGGAUUUACAACCUUAACUCAUUGAUACCAUGUAGAAAUUAUAAUCAUAGCACUGUUGGAAAUUUUGAGAAAUUUUAAGUAAAAAUUUCAUUGUCCUACAUUGGUCAUUAUCAAAAGGUUCCCUCACUUUAUAAGGCUUUGUUCCUUAUAAAAAAUUAUUGGAGUGGUGGAUCAUGGAGAAUAAAAUUGGGCUCAACCUUGGAGUUGAGCUUUGGGAUGUACUAAUUAAUUGAUAAUUAAUAUAUAAUUAAUAAAAUUCUUUAAUUAAUUAUUUUAAUUAAUUCGGAUUUAAUUAAUUAAUUAUUUUUUAUAUCAACAUACUCAUCUUUUCAGAUGAAGUCUGAAGUGAUGAAAGAACGCCAAAGAGCAAAGCACCCCUCUAAGAAGAUGUCUCCCAACAGACUAUCUCAUUCUCAUACCAGAAGUCACUUAGAUCGUUGAAUCCUGAUGAAGCAGAUGUCUGUAGAACUACAAGUACUGAAUAGGGACGAAAUUUCUGUUUCUAGAACAUUGUUGUACGCAAGCUUAGAUUUUCAAUUUGUCUGUUUAAUAGUAUUUCAUUUUGUUCAUAUUCUAUUAAAUUAUUUAUUAACAUAUAUAAAUUUAUCAUUGAUUGUUGAUAUUUAUUCAACAAACACAAAGGCUCAUACAUAUACAAUCGUAGGUACUUGACAUACUACAAAUCAGGAAUACAAUUAGAAUAACAUUACAAUAUUAAUUCCGAGAUAUUAUUUCCUUAGACAAGACUCCUCCUCUAACACCUUCCCCUUUUUCUCCUUUUGUAAAGAGAGAGGAGGAAUGGAAACAUGAGUGCCAAUCUGGGAUCAUGUAAACUAUUAGUUCUUGAGUUUUAUUGCAAAUUGAAUUCGGAAAUUAGCUUGUAAAUUGAAAGGAUUGAUCGGAGAACAUACCGUAUGUCUAGAGUAUAGCAACUCUGUGACAGGGAAUCGAUCGACAUGCCGUUAACACAACAACUGUGUACGCAACAAGAGCUAAGAAACCAGGCAGAUGAACGCACGCCUCUGAUACGUUUUCGCACUAUCGCUCCUCAAUUUCUCCUGCUGCGGCGGCGGCUGCUGCUGCUCCAGCUGCCGAUCAUCCGAGGAGGAGAAAAUCACAAUUUGUAGGUGAACUAAGUCUUGCUUAAGAAAAUUGAUCUCGAAAUAACGUUGCGUACGCUCCCAUUUCGUGACGAAACUCUUGAAGGGGAUGGCGAAGACGACGCAAAUCAGACACGAGAGGGUGAAGGGCGCCCACCAGAAUUCGCACGACAAGUUUGGAUUGUGGCUAACAGAAUGGAAUAUGAAGCUUUGAAGGUAGAUAUAACCGCAAACCAGCAGCAUCGCCGUUGUUUCCAGACGCCUUACUGUUUGCUCUUGUUUUUCGCCGACGCCUUCCAGUUUAUUCCAUUCGUUCUCCGCCUUGUCUAGUUCUUGAUGGCGGAUUAUUCUUCUGUUUUCCAUGCGAAGAAAAGUUUUCCGGCAAAGAGGAGCUCCUACUGCGGCGGGAGAAGAAGAAGGAACCGGUAGGUGGGUGUAUGUAUUGACAAAAUAGCGAAAAGAGGGUGGAAUUGCGCAAAUGAUGGGUUUCUUCAAAGAAAAUGUUCAACAACUUCUGCGAAAACGACAACCCGUGUGCCGUGCUCCAUUAGUAUAAAGAAAAGAUCCCGAGCUUUUUCUUUAAGCGGUGUGCUGAGCAUCAUUUCAUCCAGGGGUGUGUUAUUCACGUCCAUAUUCAUUUCUCACACCUUUUAUUAAUUUAUGUUCUUUAAUGGUCAUCAAUUUAUUCAAUUAGAUGGUCGAAAAUUAAAAGAAUGUGUAGGAAGUAAAAAAAGAUGUGUGAAUAUCACACCUCUUCGUCAAAACUUGCGGCGUCUGCCAAAGAUUUUUCUUUAACUUUAUUCGGGUUUUAAGUGUUUUGCACUCUAAAUUUCUGCUCACGCCUUGCAGCGAGACUGAAAUUUCUAUGAAAGAUUAUGUGAAAUAUACAAAAGAUUGUGUUAUAAAAGAAUUAAGGGUAAAGUACAAAAAACUACAUCAACUAUUGGUGUCACGACACUUUCAUAGCUCAUCUUUUAAAAUUGACAAUGUCAUACCUCAUCUUACGAAUUUGUGCCAAUGUCAUACAUCCGUCAGUUUUUCUAUUAAUUUCUCAGUUAAUUGCUGACGUGGCUUGAUCCGAGACCUAUUUUCUAUUAAAAAAUUAUUAAAAAAAAAUCAUUUAAUAUUUUUUAAAUAUUAAAAUAAUAAAGAAAAGUUAAAAACAAAAAAAAAAAAAAAAAAAAAAAAACCCAACAUCAAUUCGUCCCCUUCCCCCUUCUCUCUUUUCUCCCUAUCUUCUUCUUCUUCAACCUUCCUGCAACUUCAACCCAAAAAAAAAAAAAAAUCAAUUUGUCUUCCCCACUCCCCACCCCCUCUUCUCCCCGCACCCACUAUCCGCACCCAACCUACCCACCUUCCCACCCACCCUCUGCACCCAACCUUGCACCCAAUACCUGCAACCCAAAAAAUAAAAAAUAAAAAAAAACCCAUAUCUCGUUGAGAACUUGGGCGCAGAGAAAAUGGGGGGAAUGGAUGUGGAAGGAAAAAGGUGGGCACGUGGGGGGAUGGACGAACUGAGUAUCCUUCCUUUUUUUUUUUUCCUUCUCUCUCUUUUUCUUCUUCUUCUGCAGGUUGGGGGGGGGCAGGGACCUUUUUUUUUCUUUUCCUUCUCUCUCUUCUUCUUUUGCAGGUUGGGCGGGGGGGGGAGUUUUGUUUUGUUUUUUUUUUCUUUUUUCUGGGUUGCAGCAAGGGACCUUUUUUUUUUUUUCCUUCUCUCUCAUCUUCUUCUGCAAGUUGGGCGGGGGGGGGGGGUUUGUUUGUUUGUUUUUUUUUUCUUUUUUCUGGGUUGCAGCAAAUAGGGGGAAGAAGAGGAAAGAAGAUGAAGAUGGGAGAGAAGAGAGAGGGUGCCGGGGGGAAGGGAGUUUUGUUUGUUUGGUUUUUUUUUUUUCUGUCUGGGUUGCAGCAAAUAGGGGGAAGAAAAGGAAAGAAGAUGAAGAUGGGGGAGAAAAGAGAGGGCACCUGGGGGGUAAGGGACAAAUUUUGUUUUGUUUUUUUUUUUCUUUUUUCUGGGUUGCAGUAGGUAGGAAGAAGAUGAAGGGAGAUGAAGAUGGGGGAGAAGAGAAAGGACGCAGGGGGAAGUUUUGUUUGGUUUUUUUUUUUUUAAUAACCUUCUUUAUUAUUUUAAUAUUUAAAAAAUAUUAAAUGAUUUUUUUUAGUUUUUAAUAAUUUUUUAAUAGAAAGUGGGUCCCGAAUCAAGCCAAGUCAGCAAUUAACUGAAAAAUUAACAGAAAAAUUGACGGAGGUAUGACAUUGUCACAAAUUCGUAAGAUGAGGUAUGACAUUGUCAAUUUUAAAAGAUGAAAUAUGAAAGUGUCGUGACACCAAUAGUUGAGGUAAUUUUUUGUACUUUACCCAAGAAUUAAUGUUAUUUACAUUGAAAACGUUGGGUAGAUAUUUAUAUACUAAAGAUUUAACCAGAGGCAAUCAAUGUGACUUUGGAUUGUUCUGCAGUGUCCUGAUUUCGGUGCCAAGUCCAUGGUAUCGUUUGGUAUGCAGAUGAGACGGGAUGGAACAGAAUGGGACAAGACAGGACGGGACGGAACAGAGAGAGAGCAAAGAUGCCCUCAGAUGGAAACAAGGAGGAAGAAGAAGGAGACAAAGAUGUUAUAAUUUUGUAUUCCACGGAUGUGGAACGAGUUGUUCCAGGGGGUGAGGUGAAACGAAAAUUCACCCAAAAUUCGUCCCGUGGAACAGCGCGUUCCACCCGUUUUAGGCGCACCAAACGUGGGACGGAACGCCUCGUCUCACUCUGUUCCAUCCCGUCCCACAUACCAAACGGUACCUAAAGUACGAGUCUUAUUUUUCACCUGCAAGUCGCAUAGGAAUUCGAAUUUAAUUAAUGAACUUUAGAAAUGAGGUCGUGUUGGGACACAUUCAACUAUAAUCUAACUGAUAAUGUUACUCAAAUCACAACAUAUAUAGGUGCAUUACUAAUGAUUAGUGUUUAAAUUUUUUUUGAUACGGUCAAUAUUUUCAUAGAAAUAACCAAAAAAAUUAGAGGAAAAUAUGAAAAUGGAGGUGACUUCACCUCAUAUCGGAGAAACUCUUAAAAAGUUUUGUCUAAAAUCGACAUAUAUAAUCGAUAUUUCUGACACAUCUAUUAUAUUUUCAUGUAAACACAUUCAUCACUAGGGCUCUCUUCAAAAUCAUAUGAUGAAACCAAUGUUUGACAACACUCAAAGUUUCAUUUUAAAUUUUCAUCAUUUCCAUCGAAAACAACCAUAUCGAUAUCGACAUUCACAUUCGAUAUACCCGUCGAUAUUUUCACAAAUUUGCAUACCAAUAUUUCCACCAAUAUCGAUAUUUUAGGCAUUGCUACUAGGUACGAUGCAAGAAUUCUAAGAACUUCAUUAACUCUAUGACUAAUGAAUGUAGAUUUAAUAGUUUAAUUCUAAUGGUACAAAAUUGUUCUCUAUGCCAAGAGAAAUUUUCAAAAGCAUAAAAAUAGACAAUUAAGAAGUAGCUGUAAACACGAAAAUUCUACGACAAACGAGAAAAGAACACGUGUACAAAAUAAAUUUGUUGUUAAUGAAUUUUUAGGUUACAAUCUCUUUACAACUUGAUCCUCUGAUUUGAUCCGUAAGGUGUAGAUGUGUGAUGUUGUUGAUCUAAGGGUCACGAUGACUUGAUCUUGGAUGAAUAGUUGCCUCAAGGGUUUAGCUUGCGGCGAAGGAAGAACCAACCCGUGUAGUGGUGCUUGUUGAUUCUUCAAAGGUUGUUGAUCCAAGAAUUGUGAUGACUUGAUCUUGGACGAAUGGUUGCCUCAAGGAUUUGGCUUGCAACAAAGGAAGAAUUGACACAUGUGGUGGUGCUUGUUGAUUAUUCAAAGGUGUUGGCGAAGAACGAAGAGUGCAUUCUCGAUUCUUCGGAAAUCUUGGGAAUUUGGGAGGUUGGAUGCUUGAGAGCUUUAGAGUUUCCAAGCUUUAAGGUUUUUGGGUGUGUGGAGUGAAUUCUUUUCCAAUUUGGGUGUGGAGACAAUGAACGAGUGAAUUGGUCCCCUGAAAUGAAUGCCUCCCCCUUCUAUUUAUAAACUUUCCAAGUCUUGAUCUUGGAUUUAAUUAAAAUCAAAUCAAAUAAAUCCUUUCUGCCAAGUGUUGACACGUGUCCUUCUUGAUGACUCGUCCGAUUUUAUUGAGUCACACACCAUAUGUACAAUUUAUGCUACACGUGGCGCAUGCCAUGUGCCCUAACACAUCGAAACUUUAAUGCAUUGGUCCACAUUUAUUUCACCGAAAUUUCGAUGCUUACAAAUGCCCCCAUUUCAAGGCGCGUCGUAUACAUGUGUUUGACACGUGUAGAAGAUGUGUUUUGAAGUCCCUUGCUUAUUGAAUGCAUUUGACCACAAUGCUUUGAAGUCCCUUAACGUAAAUGCUGAUUCAAGGGCCGUCGAGGCUUGAUUCUUGAAUUGGGCUGAAAGUUUCUUCAAGGGCCAUAGAGGCUUGGUCUUGAAUUGGGCUGGUAGUUUCUUCAAGGGCCGUAGAGACUUGGUCUUGAAUUGGGCUAGCAUUUUUUUCAAGGGCCUUUAAGGCUUAAUUUGGAAUGAAAUGGGACCACGAGGAGCUUCACGUGGUGAGUGGUCUUUGAUUUUGUUGGGGACGAAUUGGCACGUGUAUUUAUUAUGCUUGUUAAUUCUCCGUGAGCUUGGUGAAGAACAUGAGUGUUUUAUUUGGCCAUAGAGCUUUCUUAUUUCCUCCAAAGGUUUGGAUUUACUUCAUUUCUUUGGAUUUAAUUUGAUCCAAGGGUGGUUGACACUUAAUCUUGAAUCAAACUUAUCAUUUCUUCAAAGGUCGUCGAGGCUUGAUCUUGAAUGAAAUGGGACCAUGAGCGGUUUCACUUGGUGGGUGAUCUUCGGCUUUGUUGGGGACGAAUCGGCAUGUGUAUUUGUUAUUCUUGUUGAUUCUCCACGAGCUUGAUGAAGAAUACGAUUGUUUGGAUGUUUGAGAAAGUUUUGGAUGUCCGGAGUUUCGACUUGCUUUCUUUUGCUCCUCCCCUUGAUUAUCCUUUAGGCUGAUACGUGUCAACGCAAUACUUGAAUUUUUUGUGGGCUCAUCAUUGAUCCUUCUGCUUCAGUGUUUUGCAUAGCAGAAGUGGUGAUGUUCCUUUACUCUUGUCGGUAAUAAUGGUGUAGUUGGAACUACAAAAUUCACACGUUUCAACUUUGUCAGAGAUCUUUGACAAAGUUACCCUUGAUAUCCCAAAAGCUGAGAUUGCAUCUGAAAAGUGCCAACAAACUUUAUUCAGGAAAGGCUUUUGAAAUUCAAAGAGCGGUGCCUCUUUGAUUUCUAAAUAAGUGGUCAUGUUGCAUCUUCUUUUAUAGAGGCAUCAAUUGUGUUCAGAAAACACACUGAGACAAUUGCUGUGUGUAGAUUUUUUUUGCACUUCUGAGAUUUAUCAGACCUAUUUUUUUCUUUAUUAUUUCUGAAAAUGACUUGUCCAUCUGACCGUCGUUUUGAUUUGAAUGUUGUGGAAGAUGCAAACAUGUCUCCUCAAGACAACAUAUGGCACCCAUGUCAAAGCAGUUUAAUCAAAUUUGACAAUUUAAAAAAGGACAAAUGUUUAGCCUAAAAGAUAUAAAUAAAAUUGUAAAGGAUUCUAAUUUCCUCAAAAAAAAAAAAAAAAAAAAAAAAGAAAAGAAAAAAAAGCAAAUUACCACAAGCGUCAGCGUGCAAGUUAAUGAUAAGCAUAGGGAUCAAAAGAAAUUUAUCCACUAACGUUAGAACUUUUUAACUUAGAAGUUUAUUAGACCGGGUUUAACAUUGUAAUGCAAAAGAUUGAACCGGUCCAUUAUGUGUCUUUCCCCUACAUAAUUAUCUUCUCCUCCGCUCCGUUACACGAAGACAAUAAGAGAGAGCGACGGCGGUGACCAAUCCAGAUUUCCGUUUGUUUCCCCCCAAAAAACAAUCGCUCGCAAUUCUUCUUCAGGAAACACCUUCUUCCUCGUCUGUUUUUGUUUCUCCUCGAUUUAGAUCCGUUAAUUUUCGGAUCUAGGGUUUCGAAGGGGGGCGAGAUGUACAACGGAAUAGGGUUACAGACUCCGAGGGGGUCGGGGACCAAUGGCUACAUCCAGACCAACAAGUUCUUCAUCAAAUCGAGGACCGGGAAGGUCGCCGACUCCUCCCGUGGCUUCGACGACGACCAGGGUACCGGCGGCGUCACCAAGAAGCCCAACAGAGACAUCCUCGAGCACGAUCGAAAGCGCCAGAUUGAACUCAAGCUCGUCGUCCUAGAAGAUAAGCUCAUCGAUCAGGGUUUCACCGAUGCUGAGAUCGCCGAGAAGCUCGAUGAGGCUCGGAAGACUCUCGAAGCCGCCGCCGCGGCUUCGGAAGAGGGUGGCGGACCCGGCGCCGUUGUGGUUUCUGAUAAGAAGUAAGUUUUCUAUCUCCUUUUUUUGGUUAAAAGUAUGAAAACUUGAGACAAAGAUUUCAAUUUUGAAUAAUAUUUAGUCUCUUAUAUUUAUGAUUAGUGUCAUUUGGAUGCGAAUGCGACUUUGCUAUGUAACAGUGUGAUUAAAAGUUGAUUAACCCGAAGAAUAUUGAACAACUUUGUAUUUUGUUACUUAAAUAGGGUUUCAGAUACACAGACCCACCAAAUUGCUGCUAGGAAGGAGAAGCAAAUGGAAACAUUAAGAGCUGCACUUGGGCUAGCUGCGCCCGAAUCAGCUGACAAGAAUACUGAUGAGAUCGAAGAGGGACAGAUAAGUAGUCGAAAGAAAGGUCCAGAAGAUGAUGGCAAGUUUCAAGAGAGAAGUGAGCAUGCAUUUUUGGACAGGGACUACGUGCGGAACAAACAUGGGGAGGAAAAGCAGAAAUCUGAAAAGGAUGAUAAGAAAAAGAGUGUUAAAGAAUCUAGGCGGAACAAGAAGGAGGAAAGCAGGAAGAGAAGGCAUAAGUAUGAUUCUUCCAAUACCGAAAGCAGCGGUAGUCCUCCUCCCAAGGCUGAUAAAAAGAAGAGUCGUGGAAGUAGCAGCAGUGACGAAGAUGAUUCUGAAGUUGAACUUGACAAGAAGCACAAGGUUGCGAAGAAGCAUGAGAAGAGAAGAAGUAAGAGCUCUGAUGAUUCUGAUUCUGCUUCAAGUGAUGAUGAUGCUAGGAGGAAUGGUGCAAGAAAGAAAGUUGAAAAAUUCAAAAAGCCUCAAAGGAGGCAAGAUUUAGAUGAAGAUGAUUCUGAAGCUGAUGUUGGAAAGAGGCAGAAGGUUGUUAAGAAACAUAGUAGGAGCAGAAGGGAUGGCACUGAUGAUUCUGAUUCUGCUUCGAGUGACGAUGAUGCACGGAGCGGCGGUGCAAGAAAGAAAGUUGAGAAAUUCAAAAAACCUCAAAGGAGGCACGAUUCAGGUGAAGAUGAUUCUGAAGCUGAUGUUGGCAGGAAGCAGAAGGUCGUUAAGAAACAUAGUAGGACCAGAAAGGAUGACACUGAUGAUUCUGAUUCUGCUACCAGCGAUGAGGAUGCUAGGAGGGACAGUUCGAGAAAGCAAGUAGAGAUAUUUAAAAAACCUCAAAGGAGGCAUGACUCAGAUGAAGAUGAUUCUGAAGCUGAUGUUGGCAAAAAGCAGAAGGUUGAUAAGAAGCAUAUUAAAAGUAGAAGGUAUGAGACUGAUGAUUCUGAUUCUGCUAGCAGUGAUGAUGGUGCCAAGGACAGAUCCAGAAGGGAAGUAGAGAAAUCCAAACUAUCUCGUAGGAGGCAUGAUUCAGAUGAAGAUUCUGAUUCUGAAGAGAAGGGGUUAAGAUCUAAUGCUGUUGAAGGUUAUGAAAUAAGUCGUCAAAUUGAUGAUGACAGGUAUUGUCCAAACAGGGAUGAUCAGAAGUAUUCAGGAUUGGAAAGACCUAGAGGAGGGCGCGAGGACAAAAUUUACAGCAAAGAUGUUGAACCAGAAGGGGGUAGUAUAAGAGUUAAUCAGGAUUAUGUAGAGAGAGGAGUUAAAACCUACACCAAGGAUGAUCAGGAACACAAAGCGAGAAAGCAUGGAAGGUAUGAAGAGGAUGAUGUAGGGCAUGGAAGGCACAUCAAGGAUGAAGAGCACAGGGGAAGGAAGCAUGGAAGAGACGAAGAGGAUCGUGGAGGGCGUGGAAGGCACAACAAGGAUGAAGAAUACAAGCGAAGGAAGCAUGGGAUAAAUGAAGAGGAAACUGAGUACAGAAAGGUGGAGGAUAACAAAGAGGAGCUUGGAAAUAGAAAACCUAGAAAAAUGGAGGAAGAACGGGGAAAUAAGGAUAUGGAUAGAGACAUGGAUUACAUGAGAGCAAAAUAUGAUGAUUCUCGAUCAAUUGAGAGGAGGCGCGAAAGUGAAAAACGUAAUGGAAGAGAUGGAGAGGAUCGUGGAGGGCGUGGAGGGCGUGGAAGGCAUGAUAAGGAUGAAGAGUAUAAGGGAAGGAAGCAUGGAAGAGAUGAAGAGGAAAACGAGUACAGAAAGGUGGAGGAUAACAAAGAGGAGCUUGGAAAUAGAAAACCUGGAAAAAUGGAGGAAGAACAGGGAAAUAAGGAUGUGGAUAGAGACAUGGAUUACAGGAGAGCGAAGUAUGAUGAUUCUAGAUCAAUUGAGAGGAGGAAUGGAGAGGAUGUUGAAGAGGAGCGUGGGAAUAGAAGGCCGGGAAAAGUAGAAGAAAGAGGAAGUAAAGAGACUGAAAGGGAUAGACACCUUGAUUACAAGAGAGCAAGAUAUGAUGAUUCUAGAUCAAGCGAGAGAAGGAGAUAUGGAAGUGACAAACAUAAUGAUGGUCGUUCCAGGCAUCGAGACUGAUAUGGUGGUAAGGUAUAUACUAUCCUCUAUUGAACUUUACAUUCACUGAUAUUGUGGCAUCGGGAGUACAUUUAGUUGUCAUUCUCUGCGAAAUCUGGAAAACCAUUUGUUUUGUUACUGAAAAACCUACUGUGCAUAGAUUGCCAUGCUUUUAUCUCCACGUUUAUACUGUUUUAAUAACUGUGUUGUACGCUAGCUUCCUUUUUGCAAAGCAGAGAAUCCUGUAAUGAGAGUAGUAAACCUCUGAUCAAACGUACUGGUUUAUAACUUUAUCUGCAAGAAAGUAUGCCUUUAUAUAUUAUGGCAGCGGCACGCUCGUAGUGUCCACAUGGUAUUUCUAUUAAGUCAGUUUUGGCUCUUUGCAACUCAUCUUCUACCCAUGGUUUUCCGAAUCAAGUGUUUAACGUUAGCAAUAUACGUUUCUAAUAUUGGUGGUUCUAAUCCUGACAUUAGUUAUGUUGCAGGUUUUUAUCGUGCCUAAGGCCUGUCAAUGCUUGCUAAGACAAUGGAGUCAUUGACUACUGGGAGCUGAAUGGAGAUGGAAUAUUAGCUUGAUAAGUUCACUGCAUCGCACUUUGAGUUGUAAUGUUUUGGUUGGAUCUGUAUGAAGAUCGUGCAACUUAUUUGUAGUAUGGUUUAGUAUCGCAGUUUAUGUUAUGCGGCAACGUUUUAGCAUUUUUGUUGGCCAUCAGAUCGAAUGGUGUGAUUUUAUUUAGAUAUUUUCGCGAGUCUUAUACUCGCCUCAUUACAGGCAUGCACGGAAUACUUGGAGUUUGUUAUCUGUAAGAAAAUGAAAUCUGGUGGUGUUGGCCUUAUAUCUGGAUGCCAUGGAAAAAUGGAACCGUUGUGACC
rnacentral:lncRNA from 1 species